UAUAUAUAUAUAUAUAUGACAGAAUUUUCUUCUAUAUUUCAACAAAACAGCAUAUUUCAAUAGAGUACAAAAGCAAACAUGAGAACCUAGCUCUUUUCUAUUAAACCUGACAUUAAAAUUACUUGCAAAAAUGUAAAACAAUACCACUCUUCCAACUAACUUUUUAGAAAAUAUAGUUAAUGACAAAAGUUUUUAUGUGAAAAAAAUAGUAGACAUGUCAUUGUUCUUUUUUAAAUUAAUUGAUUAAGAAGUUCUAGAUUUAAAAAAGUAGGCUGUAAAAAAGAUUUGGAAAUGACUGUAGCUUCAGUUAUGAGGGAGAGAUAAAGCUUAGCCACUUGCCAUCCACUAAGGUUUAUUUUAGAUAAUCUUGGGAUCCUUUACAUAAGAGAUUCAGGUCAUAAAUGAGUGCACACAGAUCAUGUGACUAAGAUACACACUCAAUACACACAGAUACCUUUUAAGGCUUUUUUUUUUUGCUUCAGUACCUUUAAUUAAAAAUUCUUUAAGGAAAACUCAAACAUUUUAUGUAUGAGAUGCAUUGUAUCAACUAUAAUACUUCAACUUUGAUAUGUAUCCAAAAAUAUGUUCAAGUGGGUAAUAUUAAAAAAGCAUUUUGGAAGGAAUAAAGAUUUUAUUAUAUCAAUAUCCUGGUAAACUUAAUCAUUCUUAAGCUAUGUCAAUUCAAACCAAGAAGUGAUCUCCCCUCCCUAGCUCACUUUUUUAUUUGCGCUAACGCGUACAUCUUCUACUAGGAAAUCCGUGUGGUAAACUGAUUUUCAAAAAUUUUUAGUAUUGUUUACUAUUUCUAAGAAACUUCACUUGAUAUAAUUUCUAAAUCUUCUAUAUAAAUGACUUAUAAAUUAUAAUAUCUCUGCCACCUUAGCAAAUUUACAUCAUUAAUUUAUACCAAAAUACAUAAAGAACAUUGAAUAUGGUUUUGUUUUUCUUAAAUUAUUAUAGUAAGGAGCAUUUAAAGUGUUGUUUUAGAAGCAUGAGCUCCAAGGAUAUCAGAUAACUCAUUUAGAUGAAGAAAAGUUAUUAGAAAGGACAAGCCAUUCACAAUGGGAGUAUGAAUUCUGUGAUUCCUAUGUGUUAACCUUGAACAGAGGGAGGGCACCUGAUUCUUUAUGCCAACCCUGUAUGACUAGCACUCUAAUGGAAAACUACUGUGAGGUUCCAUGCUCCUUAAGCAGAAGGAAUGUCAUCCCUGGUGAUUGUGUAAUUAUAACAUUCCUUACAAGUCAUGAAAUAGUAUGUGCUCCCUGAGAUAUGCCUUUAACAUCAUGUAAACCAUAAUUACCCUGCUGAGAGUAUAGCUACUUUAAGGAUAAAAGCAUGUAUUAGUUUCUUUCUUUAUACACAUAAACCUAAUGACAUUGUAACGUGAGCACUAAAUCACAGAUGAAUGUUUUGAAUGACCACAGGUCUUAGGGUAGUAUAUGAUGGCUGUAGGUCAGAAAAAAGAUAGUCCCCAGAUUAAAAUCCUGUUUUCAUGACCUAAUUGAAAACCAUUGAUUGGUGCAGAGCAGCCUGACUUGUUUUACCACCAGGGCAUAAUAACAUGUGGAAUGUGAAAUUAUGGAAAGCCAGGCUAUUGGUUAAGUAGGAAAAAUAAAUGAAUAAAAAUGGGCAAGAAAAUAAGCACAAUUUCUGUUUCAGUCUCUUUCCUUCCUAUCAAUACUCAUCCCUUGCCUUGUUUUCUUUUCCAGUAUGGACCAAAGAUCCAAUAUUUCACAGAGAUUCUCAUUAGCAUUCUCAUUUUGCCUCUAUUCCCUUUCUGUUGGCUAACCCUCCACACUAAUUUCAAACUCAUUGUGAAUCUAGUCAUUUUAGUUUCAUGUGAUUUCCAGGCUAAUUAGCAUUGCUGAAAACAAAACAAAAAUGAAAACUACAUGGCUAUGUGAAUAGAUACCAUUAAAUAAAAGUUAGGGUUCUAGCCAGGUAUGGUGGCUCACAUCUAUCUUCUGUGACUCAGGAGGCUGAGGCAGGAGGAUCCCAAGUUUGAGACCAAGCUCAGCAAAUUAGCAAGGCUCUAAAGACUUAGCAAGACCCUGUUUCAAAAUAAAACAUAAAAAAGGGACUGGGGAAGUUUCUCAGUGGUUAAACAACCCUGGGUUCAAUUUCUGUACCCAAACAGAACAAAACAAGUUCCAGACUGAACUGAUUUCAAUACUGUUUUGUAACCUUUUUUUUCCCCCAGAGUAAAUGUUUUGUUUUCCUUUAUAGUUCCCCAAUUUUCUUUCAGACCUCUUGUAAUACAGUUACCUAUUUUUAGGUUUAUGUUUUUGCUGAUUUAUUCUCUUUCUGCUUAAAAUUACCAAAAAAUGCUAAAAUUUUUAAGCAAAUGUCACCAGAAAUUAGAAUUGGUACUCAAUGGUCUCCAUUACUUCUAAUAGUACUAAAAGUUAAGUAUCAUCCAAUUUUAAAAACUGAUGAAACCUACAAAGUUCUUAAUUGAAACAACCAGGGUUAAAACUAAGGAUUUAUGUAUAAAUCAAAAUCAGUUCCAUUACAAUGCACUCUUUCUGUUUUAUAACGUAUAAAGUGAUUUCAGUCUCCUAUGUAGACAGUAGUUUACAUCUUUUUAAAGAACAUUUUGUUCUUGAAGGAUAUGAAAUUUGUUCACCUUCACUAAAUUUGGGUGUGCACACAAUCAUCUAAAGUUAUAGAAAUUAAAGUAUCCCUUGCAUUUUGAGAGAUUUUUUUAAAGAUUAGAUCAUUUUUGUUUCCUGCUUUUCAGAGGAUUAUCAAAUAAGGGAAAGAAAACAAGUGCUCAGUAAACACUGAUAGUAUAUUAUCUAGUUUGUCAGAUUAUCAUAACAAAAUAACAGGAUGCAUGGAUUUGGAUUUAGAAAACAAAAAUUUAUUUUUCACAGUUCUGUAUGCUACACAUCUAAGAUCAGGGUACCAAGGAUUUUGGUUUCUCUUUAGCCUGCUCCUUGACUUAAAGACCCCCACAGUGCACCCCUGGGUAUCUUUUGUAUUCUUAUAAGGAUGCAAGUUCUGUUUGAUGAGGGCCUCACUCUUAGGACAUCAAUUGACCAUAAUUAUCUCUUUGAAGCCCCUUCCUUUAAACAUAGUCACAUUAGUGGUUAGAGCCUUAACGUAUGUAUUUUGGGGGAAUACAUGUGAGUCCACAACCAGCAGUAAAUAUUAUCAUUGUCUUCAGUAAGUUUUUUUAAAUAAGUGUGAUUAGAAAUAUGGGUGUUUAGUGUAUGUGGACGUGAUUAUGGAAUACAUAAUAGAGAAAAUGAAAUAUAAACUAGAACUUGAUGGACAGUUAUGGAUGGCUCAGGGAACAGAAUAUUAUGAUGAAAAUUGAGUAAAAGUAAUAAAGGUCCUUAUAUAGGAACUAGCAAGAAAUGUAUAAUAAAUGUGUAAAACAGACUAAUAAGAUGUAUUAGUACAAAUGGUAACAGUCUUAAAAAAAUCCUCAAAGGUGACAAAAGAAGCUGCUUAGGGUUAAAAACAUUCCUUUUCUUCCUUCUUUACGUAUAGCAAAGACUAGUAAAAGCUAAAGGUUAUGUUUUGAAUAUCUAUACAUAAAUCUGAACUGAAUUGAUUCAAAGCUAAAAUUGUCUACUGGUGAUAGAUAAGAAAAACAAUUGCCAUUUUCUCUUGCUCUGAAUUUCAACUUUUCAUUUGGGGACUUUAAUGACUUCAAUUUAAAGUUUCAUUUUCCUGUAUAAUCUCUUCUUAUCCUUUCUCUCAGUAUGAAUUCUGUAUUUCUACCAGUUUGAUAUCACCAGUAUCCAUAAUCUAUAGACAACAUACUUAAGUAUAUCCCUGGUUUUUGCUCAUGAAUUUAUCUUACCUGAAAUGCUUUCUCCAAUUCCUAUUCAUUGAUCCAAGUUUUGAAAAGGCUGCCUUAAGUUCAACUGCUGUAGAAGUCAGCCUUGCCUGAGGUUUUCAAUUAGUGAAAUUUCUAACUAUGCACAGAUUGUACUUUUUUUGCAAAGCAUUUGAUAAAAUGCCAUCUUGCAGAGAUCUUUAGAUGUUUCAUGCAAGUAUAUUUCGUCUUCAUAACUAGAGGCAAAGAUUUCAUUUGCUUCAUCUUAUACUGCUUAGCAUUGCAUUGUACAUAAUACAGACACACAUAAAACUGCUAUUUAUAAUAGUAGAAGCUAUGUUUUGGUAUAGGUCAGAUAUCUAAGAUAUCUAAGAAGAGAGAAAAAGAGAGUCACAAUUGAUGCUCAUGGAUCUUUGGAGUUAAUCUUUCUCAUUAUGUUUUGUGAGGGAUUAGUAGUUGUGUUUUUUUGUUGUUUUAUUUUGUUUUUGUUUUUUUUGGUUUUUUACACAUUUUGUAUCCUGGGCUAUGUCAGUUUCCAAUGUUCAAUGCUUUCCAUAAUGGGAAGAGAUUGGGCUCUUUCUGAAGCCCGCCUUAUUGAUGGAAACUUCCAGAAAGAUUUUAUAUUCUGUGCAUAAAUAUUUUCUUCAAUUUCUUGCCAAGGAAGGUGUCUCUUAUCUCUUCACAACAGCACAGAUUCUGGACAUUACAAGUAAUUAAGAUAAUAUGUGAGAGGAAGGAAAUGGUUUUAUAUUUGCCUUCCUGGUGGCUCUUAACCUUUUCAACACGACAUGGCUUGUACUACCAUUAAUAUAGGCCACAAAAAAGGUGACAUCUUCAAACAUUUUAGAUACUAUGAGACCUCAGGAUAUUUCAAGAUCUUAUGUAUCUUCACAAUGUUUACCGUGCAAUUUAUAAAAUCCCAAAUUACAUCUAUUUUGUAUAAAAGGUAAGAUGAAUUUUAUUUCAUAUUGUUUCUUUUUAAUAAAGGGGAUUUUUAACCAUUAAUUAAAAAGAUAAAUUUUUGAGAACUUCUCCUUUGAUAAUUAAAAAUUCUUAAUGUGGUAAGAAAUCUCAUCUUAAAGGUUUUUAAAGAGAAUCUUAGUGUGGAAAUUAUGUAAGUAGUAUAUAGUUUUUAUUUUUGGUGACAAUACAGUGCAUAAUUUUGGUUUAGCUAUGCAAAGACUGCUUAUGAUUGCAAGCACCAGCUCAUAUUCAUAACAAUGUAAUACAGUAUAUUCUUACUGACCUUUAAUAUCUACCAAGGAUCUAAUAGGUUUUGCAGGGAAAGGGCAAAGAGGUACAUGUCUUCAUAUGAAGGAAUUGCAAAAGUUUAUCCCUUGAUUUUAUAACUAUUAUAACCCCAAAUUUCUGUGAUCCCUGUUAUUGAUAUGAUUUGUCCAGGUCUAUCUUUGAUCUCCAUCUGCAUUUGCUCUAUCUUCUUGCUUGUGCCAUACUCUUAGCAAUUUCCUCAUACUUUAAUCUUGGAUCUUGAAACUUUGGGAAAAUUAUCAGAUUUGAAAACUGCAGCACUUAACAGUAUAUAUACCUAACAUCUAUUUAAAGAUUAUGUCUUUGUUUCAUUAUCAUUUGGCUCCACUAUAUUCAUUCUGAAAGUAGAUCCGGGGUGGAAAUAAAUUUUUAAUUAAGUAUCAUAUUCAGAUAAUUUGGAAUAGCAGGGAUUUUUUAAACAUUUGUCUGAUAUUGACUCCUUUUUCUGUAUCCUUUCUUUAUUAAGAUGUGAUUUGAUCCUUACCUCUAAUCCUUGAUGCCAUUAUCACCUACUUUUCAUUUUAACACAUCAAAACUAAAAUUUUAAGUGCAAUACAUCAAUGACUGGAACACUCAAGAGAAAUUCAUGGCUUUCAAGAAAUCGAAGUGCCUUUAUAUUUGUUUUAUUUCAUCAAAGACUUGAAAUAAUCAGAUUUUUUUUUUGUUUUUCUAAUUUGUGUUUUAUCUACGAGCCUAUUAUUUGUAAGCAACAGGUUAGAUUAUUUUAAAAUACUUGUUCAGGCAAUUUCAUGUCUUUACUUAAGUUAAAUUAAGUUCAUCUCAGUUCCCACCUACUCUCUAUAAACACAUAUAUGGUAGGACUUUCAAUACUUGUCAUUUGUUAUGUUUGGCAAUAGAACCCAUGCAUGGUUCUAACAAGUGUAAUGAUUACACAAUCCCCAAAGCACACCCUCUGUUUUGACUGUCAAAGCAGCCUGCAUUCCUGUUAGCAUGCACGUUUCUAUGAAUCCUAAGUGUUCCAGGUCUGGUCUUAAUUUCAAAACUAAGCAUUGCAUAGUGGCUUUUCCUUAGUCCACUCUAACCUAAAAUUUCUCCAUUCCAGCUCUGGAGGGGAAAAAAAAAAGUCUGCUUUCCAUUUCAGUAUAAGCAGAGUUCAGUCCUAAGGAACAAUAUCUUGUUGCAUUCUGGGAGUUGGAGCAAUUUCUCUUGUGUUUUUUUUUUUUUUCAGCCUAAUGGUAAACAAUUAGAAAUAAAACAUAACUUAAUUUCUCUGUAGAUCAUCUGGCUACAUUAAAGUUUCCAUAAAUCUGCUUCCUAUGCUUAGAAAGACUAUUUGUAAAAGCCAUUAAGUUGAGGCUGGAAUGUAGGGAUUUGAAACAUUCAGGGCAGGUGAGAAGAAUGAGCAGUGGUACCACAUGGUGAGUGAUUCCCAGGCUAAGAAUGUUGCUGAAAAGGAGAAGGCCAGGAAGGGGGUUUGAAAAGCAGAAAGGCAAAAGCAGAAGUGCUUAAAAACAGAGCUUUGACAAUUUCACACACUGAUUUGCUAUAAUCACCAUUAAUCCCUAUUUGACUCAUUAAUGUAAUGAGAGAACCUGGUUGAAAGUAAGUUCCAAGAAAGUUCUAAUUCUAUUUAAAGAUUAUAGUGCAGCUGACUGUUUAAUUACUUCAAGAAGUCUAAGCUAUUCCUGAACUGUCAGAACUGAAUACAAGGAUUUACAGCUCUCUAUGAAUCUAUUGCCUGUUUUUGGAUCCAGUAAACAUCAUGGUCUUGUGAGGAUUUCGUAAAGAUACAGGGUGUACAGCUAAAAAAAUUAAAACCAAAUCAAUAAUCUUCCAUUUUAUAUGACUAUAGAAGGUUAUAAUUAAAGCAUUCAGCACCCCCUUCCUGGGUAGGAUUAAAUCUAUCAUUUUUUCUUGUGUGAUCUUAAACAUUUCUUAUGAAGUUACAACUGAAUUUGCAGCUGAAGAAAGUGCUGCUACAAAAUCUUAAGUUUUUUUUUUUUUUUUUUUCCCUAAAUUGUGAUAGACCAGCACCCUUUCCAUAAAUGAAUUUUUGGAACUUUUAUAAUGUCAUUGUUUUUAUGUAGCCCAAUUCUGUUCAUUUAAAUGUCUUUAAAAGUUAUGUUUUCUCUGGUUUAAAUUCCAGACUGUGUUAUUGGCAUAAAUCAUUUUUUCUGCUUGAGGUUUUACAAUCCAUAGUUCUGUUCAUCUUGAGGUUAACGGAAGGUCUCGAAACACAUCUAAUGAGAAAAGGAAGGAAAAAGUCAAAGUUUUCAAGGCCAGGAAGAUGGUGAUGCUAUGCUAGAAGUCUGGCAUUUAAUUAUAUUUCUAAGUAAAAAUAUGUAAAUAGAAUAUGAGUGCUGCAGCAUGUGAAUUAUAAUGAAAGUAGGAUAUCAGUUAAGAGGCAGCAUGCCCUAAUAGCUUGCAGGAUCCUUGGGUUCUAGCUCGAGCUCUGUAGUAACUAGAUCGCUGACCUUUUGAAAGUCAUUUAUCCUUCCUAGGCUUCAGCUUCCUCAAGGAUAAAAUAAAAGGUUGCUAUAGAUUCUGCCAAAGUUUCCUAAAAGUCUAUAUGUAAUUCUGUGACACAGGCUGUAUAUUAUGGCUUCCUAUGAGAAUCAGUUCACAGUGAAGUACAUUUUCUCUUUGGAAAUUACACAGUAAGAUUUUAGUUGUUCUAUUGAGCAUUGCUAUAGGUUGGACCCAGGGUGAAGAGAACCAGGAAGGUCCACACAAUGCAUUAAUUCUGAUGAUAUAAGGAGGGAAAACAACAGGGAAAAGGGGAGUAGAAAGGAGAGAGAGAUUUACUGUUUAGGUUGAAUCCAGUGUAAAUCCUUGGAUGUCUAAGAAACCUCACGCUACAUAUGCUUAAAACUAAACUUUCAGUCUUUCUGAUACAAACUCUUUUAACCGCACGGUAGUUAUCUCACAAGAUGGAUGCCUCAUACUUCUGAUUUCCAGGAGAAACACCUUUGAGUUAUGUAAUCAAUGGAUUUAUGUUCAAAGUACUAUAUAUAUCCUGAGAGCAACCUCUUCUCUUUCGUCCCACACUGCAAAGCUGUUGUCAUCUCUCACCUGUGUUAUUGUGCCAGACAACUAACUAGAGUCCCUGUUCAACCCUUUCCCUGCUUCAAAAUCUAGAUUGAUCCUGUCAUAACCUAAGUUUGACCAUGUAUGUUAUUUUGUUUUGUCUGUGCAGAGCAUGUAAUAGCUUCCACAUUUACACAAAAUAAAAGCUGAAGUCUUUACAAUAGCUAGCGUGGCUUUACCUGGUGAUCGCCCCUGGCACUCUGAUCUGACAUCUUCUUCUCUUUCUGCUCCUCUGAUAUGUCUCCCCAGCUGUUCUCUUAUUCACACUGCCUCAGCUCACUGGCCUUUUUACUACUUCCCUUGUUCUUAGCACAAAGGAGGGACCUCUGCACUCAGCACAUAGUACAUACUCAGUAAAUGUUUGGAAAACACAUUAAUUUUAGAUGUUGUGUUUCUGCCACUGGGACUUGUCUUAGUUUUACAGUUUCUGUUCACAUCCUAGUGUGUCUAGUUUAUAAAUGUCACCCUGACAUCAACUUUGCACUUCAUUUUGCCAAGUUCUCCCUAGGCAAACCUCACCAUUUCUCUGUGUUCGUGUACCAUACUGUACUAACUGUUCUCCAGAAGAAAGUCUGGCAUAGUAGUUGGAGUCAUUUUUUUUUUAAUGCCAUUAAGCUCCAGAGAAAAGCAGUGGGAAGGGGAGUUGGCCAACUCUACCUUCAACGAAAAGCUGUUUACAGACUAGGAGGCAUGCCUUGUGGGUGGGGCACACUGCCACAAUGAAAGGAGGAAAACAAAGAUUAUAAGAAACAAAAUGGAGAAGUCAUAAACUACAUGAAGAAGAUACUGGAAUGUAAAAUUGAUAUUGUAGACAAAAGUAUGAAAAGAGGUAUAUAAAGAUUCAAUAGGAUGGUGAUGUUAUAAGAAAGCCAAGGUGAAGUUCACAGCAGUUUUUUAUUUCUUUUAUUUUGCUUUGAAAUGAAAGGAAGGGAGGGAUGGAGGGAGGUAGAGAGAAAGAAAGUAUGAAGGAAGGAAGAAAGGGGCUAAUUCAAGUGUCCUGAGUCAAAAAGUCACUUUCAGGAGUCAGUAGGAAGAUGACAAGGCUAGACAGAAGAGUCAAGAUCAAGGACAGUGUCAGACAGCAGCAGCCACCUGCAGGUUUCACGCUGGUUGGGACCUGAGGGACUAGAAAGACUGAGACGCUGUGCUUGCAUUGGCCAGUGCCUGUGUACCAGCUAGAACUUCUCUUCCUCUUUGUAAUCCCUACUGAGAGAGGACAGAAGAGGCAGAUAAGUGUUUGCAUUUAUUUCAGCCAGUGGUUUACUCAAUGUCCUGAAUAAUCCUGCCAGGUCCUAAUUAAGGUAAGGGCAAAGGUGCUGGGCCUGUGAGGGAUGAAGGCAGAAAAGAGAAAAAUACUGGGAUGUCAGUUGUGCAGUUCCCUAAUACUUCUUGACAUGCAUGGUUAAGGGUAUAGAAAAGAAGCAAAUAGAAAAUGCACCUACAGGAAAAGAUUAAAUGAGAUUCUUCCAAGACAAGGCAUAUGUUCUAAACACAAUCUGUAUGGAUGGUAUUAAUGUAAAUUUCUAUAAGUGUGAAAAAUCAUGUUUAGGAAAAGAAUAAAAGUGAUAAAACUGAAAAGAAUACAAUUUGGAACUUUGUUCUAAUUUGAAUAAGAAUAAACUAUCUUUAAUAGAAGUUUAAAAUUAAUUAAUUACAAAAUUCAUUAAAAAUAUUUAGAAUGACAAAGAGCUUGUCCUGAAGAGAUGGACAGUGGUGCCUCUUCCCUGUAAGUGAGGGUAGACAAUGCUGAGUUUGGGUAGAGAUUGUUUCAUGUAGCAAACAGCCUCAUGUGAAUUACAUGGAAAUAUAUACCUUGUCUUGGCAGAUGAGGAAUCCCUGGGCUGCGAUAACUAAACCCAGGCAGCGUGAUAUAAGAAUGGCUCUGUCAGGAGUCAUAGGACUUUUUAUUUAGAUUCCAAUAUAAUUUUAAGAGAUGAUGAACCUAUUAAAAGCAUCUGUCAUUUGACUGACUUUUAGAUUCAUUUUUUUCAUGAAAUUUUUCUGCCCUGAAUCCAGACUUCCAAAAUUGUUUUGGCCACUUGUUAUACUUCGGUUAAAUUUUGCUACUAAAAUUUUAUAGUGAAGUUACUACAGUCAGACACAGUAUUUUGAUGAACCUCAUGUAACUUUAUGCCUUCAAGAUGUUAUCUUUAAAAAUCUCCUUCCAAUGAGCCAUCAUUGUGGAUAUAGCCCUGGGAUUGGAAAGACUGCAAAUCCUUAUCUUUAUGGAAACAGAGGCAGAAUAGAUUAAAAAAAAAAAGAAUAAAUAAUGGGUUAAAGAAGGAGAAGGGAUUAUAGAAGGGACCCUGAGUCCCCAUUGUGCCCUUAGGUGUUCAAGAGCUGAAGACAAAUAUGUGGGUUUGCUGGAUUCCUCACUUGGCCAACUGGGUAUGUGAUUAUGACACCUAAAGAGAUUAAAAAAAAAUAAGUUAUAUUUAAAAUUUCAAAAUCAGUGUCAAAAGGGUUAUUAUGGGUAAAGUUGUGCUUUAUUUGACCCCCUUAGCUUUGGGUUAUAUUUAGUACUAUUUUGUAUGUUCACUUAUAAAAGGAGUCUGUAUUGAGGGUACCUCGUAUUACAGAAUUUUUUUUUUUCAUUCCCAGGUCUGUGAAAUAGUGUAAAGAAGAUAGGAUUUGGGUUUGGGGAGAAGCUCCCAACUAUGGCAGACUCAUGCAAAUCCUUUUUCCUUUCAAGCAUUCAGUGGAAUAGUUGUUCUACAAGCCCCCCCCACCCCCACCCCUGUACCUGAGUGAACCCAUGGUGGGGAAGACAACAGGGUAUAGUCCUGGAAAACAGUGUGCAGUUAUUUCCAAAAUCUGAAUCUCAGUCAUUAAUAUGUGACCAUGGUUGAUUUCCAACUUUUUUUUUUAAUUUUAAAGGGCAGGGGCAAUGAUGGGUUAAGCUGACCAAAGGGGUAUGGCUUCUAACAAAGAUGGAGUUGCUUUAUUCCAACUUUUUUUGGUCAUAUUUCCUCAUCUGUUAAAUUGUUUAGUAGUUAACUUCCUUCUUUUCCUCCCACCUUCCUUCCUUCCUCCUUCCCUCCCUCCCUUCUCUCUUCCUCCCUCCUGCCUUCCAUCUUUCCCUUAUUUUUCUUCUUAGAAUUCAGUGAAAUAGGACACAUAAAACACUGUAAACAAUUAAAAUUGGGUAUAUAACUUCAAGGUAUUACUGUAACAUCUAAGAAAAAAUAGGUUUACUUCUGUUGAGUGCACAUUAUGUGCCAAGCAUAGCAUGUUGUGCUUAUAAUACAUUGUCCUUCAGAGAUUUAGUAAAUCUUCAAGGUAGUUAUUAUGCCCCUGCCACAGAUCAGAAACCUGGAAUUGAUGGAAGUAAAGAAACAUGAUAACAGAAUUUAAGAAGAAAACUGAGGUCUGUCUCAUUAUUUCCUUUGACUUUAAGAGAAACAGAGUCAUGAGGUAGACCAAGAGGAUACCAGCCAAGCAGUGGGGGCUUCCUGCUCUGUUUAGAGACUGCAUGUAAUCACUACUUUUCUAUUUCCCUUGGAAAAAAAAGACCACGAGGGUCUGGGUAUACCUCUAUGGGGACAUUGAACAUCAUUUGGACAAUUAUAUUUCUUUUCCCUGAUAAUAUUUGCAUCAUUGUAAAGUCUCAUCACUACAACCUGAGUGUUAAUAAUGAUUAUCUACUGUGUGCCGAGGAUGGAGAAAUGGUGUGAAACGACCUCUCAGAUGAUUUAAUCAGACUCUUCUCUCAAUAAGAACAUCUAUCAUUAAAAUUCUUUUUUUCCCUUAAGCAGAAAUAAAAAGGUUUUAUUUUCUUUGUACAAAACUUAAAAAAAUAUUCUAAUUACUAAGUAACUAUAGUGUUGUUUUUCAGAAGAAAGAGAGUCAGCUUGUACUGUCAUUUAGUUUCAAAAAUAGUGACCAAUUAAUUUCAUAAUCAUUUUCAAAAGGAGCAAGUAGCCAUGAGAACACAGCUGUUAAUAGCUAAAUUUUCUUCUUUCAUUCUCCUAUCAAGGUGACCAGGGAAGGGCUGCAUCCAUCCUGACAAAUAUCUGCUUUAAAGGUUUAAGUUCCUUUGGGAUCUUUGUUGCCAGAGUGUAAAAAGGCCUGGGAUAGUUGUUUUAUUUGAUACUAAUUCAGUCGGGCAAGCCAUAACCAAGAGUGUCACAUCUAAAUGUCUGGACACACUGUUCAUCUUCCCUCCGUGAUUGGUCUCAGACUAUAGUACUAUGUCAAGGUUCAUUUGACCCAAAGCAUUUCAGCAUCAGCUUUUCCCUCUCACUGGCUCCAAUGAAGGGAAUUUCCAGAAUGUAAAGGUCAAAGAUUCCAUAACUUUUUAUGGUCGUAGUGUAUUACUUUUCAGGUUCUUUUUGCAGAUCCAGAGACAAUUGUUCUCUUACUGUUAAAACUGUUAAUUGCUAGUUGAUAAUAAGGAUGAUUUUUAUUUUCUAAUGUAAGUUUGUUGGGUUUCAAGGUAUUUCUUGACAGUUGUAUGUGUUUGCUUGUGUGUAAAUGUGUAAACAAAACUAUUACAUUGAAAGGAACCAACUCACAUAUCCUUGUUACAGUUUUAAAAAAUCUAUUUAAAGUACUUCCUUGUAAAUAUGGAAAUGACCAUCUUUUUCAUUCUGAAAGUAACUUUUCUCUGUCAGUGGAAAUAUUAUUGUCAGUUAAAAAUUAUUUGACAGCAUUUUCACUUCUAAUAAAUUUUUAAAGUUAUUAGCCUCUCCCAAGUGCAUAAGCUCCCUAUGCAUCCCAUUAAAAUUUUCAGGAACAUUCAUUUUUUGUUAAUUCUUAUUAACCAUUUUCAGUUUGAUUAAUAAUAUGAAGUUGUUUCUAGGAAAUCUGACUAGAAGCCAAGUUUUGUGGAAAUAACAUUGGUAUCCAUAAAGAGGUCAAAAACUGAAAAGGGGGAAAAGACUAUAGAAUAGACAGAGCAGGUUUUCACAGAAAGCAAAGGACAGAAUUAAAGAAAGCAUGGAGAAGACAUGAAAACACUGUGCCUCACUUCAGACAUCUCUGCUUCUUCAUAUUUCAGUUAUGCAUUGUCCUUAAUAGAUGAUUCUUUCUGUGUCUGAGCUGUAGGUAUACUUUUCACAAACAACUGGGUAUUUGGGCCACCCGACUGUGUUGAUGGGUUGCUGUGGUAGAGAUGAUGUUUAGCAUUGGCUUUGUUAUCUCUGAUCCUCCUCCUUUGAUAUAUGGAUGUGACCUGGAGUUUGAGAGUUGACAAUUAGGGGGAGUUGAGAUAAAUUUUUAAAAUAUAAAGCAGUUAUGAGAAGCAUGAUAAUUUCAAAUGAAUAUUCCAUUAGAAUCAACUCAAACUAUUGAAAUAUGUACCAAUGAGCUUUGCUGUCCUAAAAAAGAAAAACUGCCAAACAUGUGGCUAAUUAGUUUACUUUCAUAUUUUACCUUGUUUUUUUUCAGCUCUAUGAAGUUCAAAAGCUGUCCCACCCGUGACUUAUAAGAAAAAAAAAGGUACUAUUUUAAUCUUCAAAAAUCAACAGCUUGCAGGGGUCAAUCCUUUAAAGUAGAGGCUUCACUGGUUGCAAUUAUUAAUCAGUUUCCUUCAGGAAAUAUAUGAAAUUAAAUAUUAAAGUACAGAUCUAAACACUUCUACAGUCUCAGGGCUUCUAAGGGCAUGAUUUCCUUACUGUCCUGAAAUAGCUGACCUUCCUCAAUCCAAAUGAGACUCUGCAUGAAUAUGAAAUCCCUCAUUUCGUCUCAGUACCUCAUCAUUUGGGCUUCAUUUACGUUUUAGCACUUCAUAUCUCCUCUAAUAGGCACAGAUUCUCAGAAGUUAACCUUCCACCAUGGCAUAGAUAACUGCUAAACAAAGGUCUUGUUUAUCAGAAGGAAACUCCAUGGCUUUCAGUUUGUUCACUAAGCUGACAAAAUUCAUUUACCAGUCUCAUAUACCAGGCAUUCAUAUAAUUGCUUGGAAUCAAUAAACGAAAGACCUUCUUUUAUUAAGCCUUCAUUUUAGUGAUGGAUAAAAGAUAAAAAUAAAUGUAUAGCAUGUGCGCAUUGCAUAGUGUGUUAGUCCAGUGGCAAAUUUUUUUAGAAAGAGAGAAAGAUGUGCAUAAGUGGAAUCAGAAGUGGCAAGGUAUAUGUGGGGUUGGGGAGAAUUGCAAUUGAAAAAAAAAAAGAUGCUAUUUGCCUUGUUAAUAUAGUGACAUUUGGACAAAGUCGUGAAGGAGGUGAUUAGCCUUAGCAGCAAGCGUACCUGGAGAGAGAGCAUUUCAGGCACUGGAGGAGAGAGAGCAAAGGCCCCAAAGUAGAAGUGCAAGGAAGAGAAAGUGUAGUUCACCUGGAGUAAAAUGAGCUAUCGUCGGGGAGCCUAAGAUGAGAUUAGAGAGGUUCAGGAGUGGUAUGGCCUAAUGCAGACCAGAGAGGGUAUAAUUGGCACAGACUCAGUUUGCCCUGAGAUAAAUGGGAAACUACUACAAAAUUCUGAGUAUAAAAGUGUUAUCAUCUGACUUAUUUGGAUCCCUUAUACAUUUAAGUACAGAGUCAACAACAUUUUUAGAUGGGUUAGAAUUGAAUUCAUCAAGACAACAAUUAAAUGUAUUGCCUAUGAAAGCUACCGACACCUUAGUAAGUAUAUUCAUAGCAAAUAAUAAUAUUAAUACUAAUGGUAAAUAAUAAUAUCCACAAGUGUUAAUUUAGUUAAUCCUCACAGCAUCCUAUAAGAGGUAAAUUACUGUUUUCAUUUUGCAGAAGAGAAAUGUGAAGCCCAGGAAAUCAGUUCAUUGUCCAAGAUAACACAGCUGAAAAGGGACAGAUUUGGAUUUAAAUCUAGGCAUUACAGAGAAUGUGUUUACAUAAUUCUGCACCAUUUGUAUAUUAAAACAAACACUGUAUACCAAAGACCCAAAUAGGAAAAGGUAACAAAUCCUAUUUUAGAAUUAAUCUUCUUUUGCUGUUUUACAAGGAAAGGAUUAUAGAACUGGAAAGGCUUGAUAGUGCUGAUGGUGAUUAUAUUACAUCAGAUAGUUUAGCCUACACAGUGAAAACUACCAGUCCCUUGCCAAGGGUUUAUUUCUUCAUGGGUUUACAAGCCUCUCAAGAGCUAUUGCAGUUCCACUUUCUUCUGUCUUCAUUCUGGGGCUCAGGCCAGUGAAGCAGUCCUUAUCUGGGUCAUGUCUGUAUCAUAGUUGAUGAGAAAAGGAAUCUCAAACUUUCUCUUUUGUAGACAGAAUUUGCAUCUACCCACUCUCCAUUGACCAUAAUAUAACAUGUGACCAUUCCUGAGUUCAACAGAGUGAUGCUAAGUAUGUAUGUCAUGGACAGGCUCCAUAGAGAGUGAAAUGAAACAGUUCAUGAGUAGAUUCUAAUCUACCACACUGUUGUUGCUUUGAUUUUAAUCAUUUUCCAGAGGUGGAAAGGCAUAUAAAGAAAAAAUUUAAAAGUAAAAACAACACUAAAUCAUUUAAUGAUUGCCUUAGACUCUGUAAACCAGUGCCUAGGCAGAGAACCUAUGGAAGUAAUUUGAUUGAUGCCUUUCCUAUAGCUAUAAGGAGGAGUAAAAGAGAGUCUUCUGGAUUUUUCUCCAUGAAGGAAUUAUAAGACAGCAUAAGAUCCAUUUCUUUUGAAGAUCCCUCAAAUUUAUUCUUUCUAACUGAAGUUUUGCAUCCUUUGAUCAACUUCUCCUCUGCAUCUCCUCAACAUCUCCCUCAGCUCUGCCAGCCUCUGGCUACCACUAUUCAACUCUUUAUUUAUGUAAGUUCAGCAUUUUUAGAUUCCACAUGAGUGAAGUCAUGUGUUUUUUUCCCUAUGCAUGGUUUGUUUCUGUUAGGAUAAUGUCCUCUAGUUUUAUCCAUGUUACUGCAGAUAACAGGAUUUCCUUCUUUUUAUAGCUGAAUAGUAAGUAUUCCACUGUAUAUUUGUACAUCAUACUACUUAUGCAUUCAUUCCUUGGUGAACACUUUGGUUGUUCCCAGUUCUUGGCUCUUAGAAUAGUGCUACAGUAAACAUGGAAGUCCAUGUAUGUCUUUGACAUAUCAAUUUCAUUUUUUUUGGCUAUAUAACCAGUAGUGGGACUGCUGAAUCUGUGAUAUUGGUGUAGAAGGUGCAAACUGUGUAGCUGAAAUUUUCUUGAUAUUUAGGAUAAUAUUAUAAUAUUCUUAGUGAAUUUAGAUCUUAGGAAAAACUUGUUUUUCUUAAAAUCUUGAGUAGCCAAAUUAUUCACUAUAAUUUCUCUUUAAAACCUAUGUUCCAUGUGUCUCUACUUUUCUUAUAGGUCUAGAAUAACUUUAAAUCAAAUUGAUCUAAAAAUGGAAAAAAUUAAGGACUGUUUUCAUGUAUAGCUGAAUUCAAACUUUAAUAUUACUGUUGUUGUGCUAUUGAGCAAUGUAUAAAGUUGUUUUGUUGUUGUUGUUGUUCUAUUCUGAUUUUUUUUCCCUUUGCAAAGUAAUUUAGUACAUUUAAGAAGAUAGUUUUAUUUUUUUAUUUUUUAUGUUUUUUUAAUGAAGACAUCUUCAUAGUUUGUAGAUACAGGGAAUAAUAACACAAUUUGUAAUGACUUUUAAUUUUAUUUUUACAACGGAAAAUAUGUCUUAUUAAAUCGUAGACCCAUUAUGUAGCAAUUUUCCUAUUUUAACAGAAUGAAAAUUCUAGAACUUUUGCACAGAGAGUCGAAACUAUGAAAAGAAAUUUGUCUUUUUGUUUUGUGAUGAACUUCUUUCUUAUCUGAUAGGUUUCUUUUUUCAUAGAGGAACAGGACUGUUAAAUUUAGCUCUGUCAAAUACUGUGGGAUCAAAGCUCCCUGCUAAGUCCCAAAAUGGAAUAGCUGCCACCAGCCUUUCAACCACAAGUCUUUAUGAACCUGGACUUUCUGGACCGAAGUUAGAAGUCUGUGAAUUGAAUUCCCUUUAUAAAGUUUUACUUCAGAUUUGUGCCCUCAGAUUCGUUUCCCCUCAGGGAUCCUUUUACUUCACUAGAAUAUUCUCUGGAAAAUGAUACCUUACAGUGACUUAUGUCUGAGUCCUUUCAGAAUUUUUAUCUUAGUUGUCAAUGUGCCAAGACUUCCUCCAGAGUCUAAUUUGUUAUUCAGUUCAGGAUAGAUAUUUUUUUUUGUGUGUGUGUGUGUGUGUGUGUGUGGUGCUGGGAUUGAACCCAGGGCCUAUGCAUGUGAGGCAAGCACUCUGUCAAUGGAGCUAUAUCUCCAGCCCUUAUUUGAUUUUUUAUUGUGAUUAUUUCUAUCCUGGCAUUUUUCUUAUCUUGUUUUGCUUCCCUCUGAUCUAGGACUGGAUUUUGUACUAUAGAAUUAAUUUACUUCCCUUUUCUUCCACAAAAAAGGCAAAAGACUACAACAACCUGCUCCCAUUGCUGGUUGGAGAACAGCACCUGCACCUAGGUCUUGCUCUUUUUCUAACUGGUAUUAACUGUCACAGGGCAAUUGAGAAUAACCGGUGAGCAUUCAUCUUCUCACAUUCUAAAGCAGAAAAAGCUUUCACUAGAAGUGAUUCAUAUGCAAAUCUGAAAAGCUCUUUACCUCCUUCUUAGAAUUGACUUAGCUUUAAAUUGCUCUUCUUUUUUGAGAGUAAUAAUGAAAUUAAUUGUUCUAGAAUAUCAGUACUACAGUAAGGAGGGACCUUCCAUACUUUUAGGACAUGUCCCUAAGGUGUGUUCCCACCCACAUAGGGGAAAGUGGUCAUGAAUAUAGACACUUAAAUCUCAAAAUACCUAGUCUUCAUAAUUUCAAGAUAGACCCAUGGGUAAACUACUCGGAAUUCAUGGAUGAAAUUGAAAUGUUUAUAUAUUAACAAAACUUGUUUGGCUGACUUUUUCUUUAAAAAUUUUCUUUUUGACACAGGAGGGUAUCACAUUGGAGCUUAGGAAAAUACCACAGGAUAUUGGCUGACAAGUCCUGCUUUCUAUUAAAAUUCCAUUUGAACUAAAUAACUUCAAAAUGUUUCUAUCUCCACUCUACAUUUUCGAAAAGAUUAGAAGCCACAUAACAAUUAAAUAUAGAGAGUAUCUCUCUCUUUGUCUUGCCCUAUGUGAGUUUUAUCUUCCAAACUGCCAACAAAUUAAGCUUCUUAAUACAGACUUUCAUCUUAAUUAAGAGACUUUCUUGACUGUUUCCCGUAGAUUUUCAUAUAAAUUUUAGAAUCUUUAAAGGGUAACUUAAGUCCUUCCUCAUGGGCUUUGCCUGAUAACCUAUAUUGUGUGUUCUAUAUGACUACUUUCCUUUUCCCAAAUUCACUUUUCCUUUUGUCAUUUCUUUACCUUUACCCUCUGUGUUUCUUCGGCCCUAGUACACAUCAUUUCCUUCAUCCAGAAUCACCCUGGUAGGUUUUAAUAAUCACUUGAGGUGCACAUCUAAUACUUUUUGGAUGACUUUCACUAGUCCUCACCUAUUCAGCCAAACCAUGAACUUAUCCCAGUGUUUACAGGGCCCCUAGCCCUUUUUGAAAAAGGAACCUGGCAUAUGUCUACCUUGUAAUCAACUCUAUAAGAAGUGAUCACUUGUAAAAGAGACCAUUUGCCUCUUGCGCAGUGGAUGCACAUUGAAAUCCCUAAAGUCUCUUAAACUAUGGAAUUUCUAAUUUGUGUAGAUAUUACUUAUUUACUGGGGAACAUAAAUUUUUGAAGGAAUACACAAAGUGCAUCCCAUAAAACACUAUAAAAAUAACAGUUUAUAAAGAAGUUAUUAACUAAGUACUUCUGUCCCUGCCUCUUCUAGCCAGAAUAUACUUGGAAAUCUAGAUUCCUUUCAGUCUCCUCUGUGUAAAUGCUAGGUGGCCAUAAUGCUUAUUGCAUACCUUACAAAGACUUUUUAGAUCAAAGAAUCAUUGUUCAGUCCUAUUCCUUGUCAGCUUAAAUGUACCAUAACAGUGGAAAUAUUCCUUUUCAAUAUGCUGCAUGAAUUUAUAUCAAGGCUUGAUAAGCGAACUGUCAGAAAUCCUAAAUUCAUCAGAGACUGCAUUAUUUUUAUGUAGAUAAAAAGAUAUGAGUCUCUAUUCUAUUACAUGAGUUGUCAUCAUAAUAUUACAGUUAAAGCUAAUGAACCAUUCUCUGGCAUUUGAAAAGCCAGUUAAUGGAGCAUUUUCCUGACGAAGCUCAAGUUUAUAAAUGAAUUAAGUCUGUUUGUGUGGGUGUUGUAAUGAUUAUGAAAUUAUUCCUCAAUGUUAUAAAAUAUCCCCUUUCUGCCCCCAAUUAAGGCCAGCAUGACCUACAAAAAGUAGCAAGUCACAUUCAUUUAAUCAAAAUUAGAUAUGCAGGGCUUUGAGGGGAAAAUAAUCCUAUAAAGAAUAUUAGUCAUCAUAGCAAACUUUUCUGUCUCUCAAUUGAAGAAAGCUCUUUUUUAAAGUCCCCAUGACUUUUUGUCUGUAUUUUGUUCUUUCUUCUUGAACUUCUACUGAAUUUUAGAUGAAUUGCAGUCAUCAGAAGAAAGGUUUCUUAGAGUGGUGGAGGAUAGUCACACUCAAACACUGUGAGCCAGCUGUUAUAAAUUAGCAGUCCUCACAAGAAUCCUUUGACAAGUUUUCAAAAACCAAUUUCAGAAUUUUGUUGCCUUACUAUGAGAGUAAAUUAUUGAAAACUCUCAAAUAUAUUCAUUUACUAACAUUUGAUAUUCCCUUACUGUUAUUUUUUAAAGACCAUCGUUUAUAUUUUAUAUGAAAAUAUUUAUAUGACACAAAUAUAAAAUAAUGUAUAGCAUGAGUAUAAAGGCAUGCUAUAUAUUAUUUGAAGUAUAAAAUAUAUUUAGAUAGAAAUACUUAGCUUUCUUUUAGAAUCCCUAGACCUGAAAUGACCCUCUUUGAAAGAUUGAACUGAAUGGUGAUAUUCAGUUUUAUCCACUGCCUAUUGACUUUUUCUAUUUCGAUUCAUUAGCUAAUUCUGCCUUUCAAAAAUCUUGAAAAACUUGAAGCUCAACCAAUUUUUAUAUCAGUUGGAUGCUAAAAUGUCAGUGAUAAAAAAUCAUACACACUAAGUUUUCUAAGUUUCUACAUGCUUCUUAUCUCCUUUAAAGCAUUCACAUGACUCACUGAAAUUUUUCAUGUGCUCAGCUGUUUCUUACAUUGUAUUGGCAGAAUCUGUAGUUCUGGCAUUUUCUCUCAAAUAGGAGAAGGACUUUUCAGUAUAUGUCUUCUGUUUACACAGUGUCUCUUAAUGUUUUGACCGAAGCUGAAAUUAGGGUAUUUUUAAAUUCAAAUUUGAUGUGUUGUUUAGUUUUGUUAGAUGUGGUAUUGAAGGAAGAGUUGAAAUUGAAAUUGAAAAAAACUGGGUUCAAAUUCUGAGUCAGACAUCUGGCAGCUGUGAUUUGACAAGUCACAUACUUCUGUGAAAGUUAAUUUAGUCCUCUAAAGAUGAAAGUAAUAAUGCUGACUUAACUUGUUUGAUCCUUUUUAGAAGAAUCAGGGAGAUAGAGGCUAUAGAUGAAUUUUAAAAUAAAAUUCUAAUAUAUAUAUAUAUUUGAAAUCUUUAUUUCAUAAUAUUAUAUUUUAUUUUUUUCAUUUAAUGAAGGAAAAAGUGUAUCUAGAGAAGUCAAAGAACUAGAACAAGUGUGGUGGGUACAGACAGGGUUUAUACUGUGAUUAUUAAAACUUGAUUCCUUUUCCUAUUAUCAGUUUUGUAAAAUACAUUUUAUUUAACCUGUGAGUCAGUUGUAAGUUUUCAGUAAUCUGUUAUUAGUUUUCCAAGAUAAUACAAAAUUUUUAAGCUUACUGAUUUUGCUUGUAAUUGACCUUUCUCAUCUCUCUCUCUUCAGGAGAAGAGAAUAUGGUGUUAAGACAGAGGUUUGUGGAGUCAAGUGGACAUAGGUUACCCUUGAGCCUGACACUUGGAUACUUAGACUCUCUAAAGCUUCAUAUGUAAGAAUAGGAAAACAAUCUAAUUAUUUUACAUUAUUCUUUUAAAUGGCAAAUAUUUUAAUAGGCAUCCAUGUUCCAUCGUAUUCCGAUGACUUUGUUCAUGUCUUCCUUUCUGCCUGGAAGGCUUGUACCAGUCUCCUCACUAUGACAACUGUAUAUAUCCCCUAAAUUUAAUAUCAGAAAUAUCAUGCCCUCAAUAACCUUAUGGGACACACCAUCCAGCUUAUGUGUCACUCUUCUUUUGCCCACACUGUAUAUAUAAUGUGGCCCCCAUUAAAGCAACUUAAUUAUCAAUUUAUUACUUUUUGUUAACUAAUACUUGUUCUACUAGACUAUGUCCUUUAAGAGGAAGGAGAAAGAAGCAAAUAAGUGCUUAUAAAUAGCUAUAAAUCAGUGGACGUUGGAAAGUUGGAAAGACUAACAUUGAAGGCAAAUAAAAAAAAAAUUCUUUCCUUGAAGGAAAAUGGUAGACUGAUUAUAUAUAUAUAUAUAUAUAUAUAUAUAUAUAUAUACACAUACACAUACACACAUAUAUAAUUUAUAUUUCAUAUUUAUGUUGUUAUAUUUCACAUUUGUUAUUUAUAGCUCAUAUUUAUAGUUAUAUAUCAUUUAAAAUAUGAAAAUGAUAAAUUUAAAGGGUAUAUGCAUUAUUUUUAAAUUUACCUUAAGAUUACCACAUGCCAGGAUUAACGUUUUGAGGUAUUAAAAAAUGACAAAUUAAAAUGAAAUAAUAAGGGCUGGGUUGUGGCUCAGCAGUACUCACUUAGCAUGUGUCGGGUUCAGGGUUCGAUCCUCAGCACCGCAUUAAAAAAAAAAAAGAAAUAAAGGUAUUGUGUCCAACUACAUCUAAAACACAAUAUUUAAAAGAAAUGAAAUAAUAAAAAUCCAAAGUUUAUAUAACUUUAUUUAAGUAGGUAUAAUUUUGACAAAGAUAUUUUGAAUGCAAAUUUUACUUUUUAUUUUUUGGUGCUGGGUGUUGAACCCAGAAGCACUUAACCAUUGAGCCACACUCUCAACCCUUCUUUUUAAAAAUUAUUAUUAUUUAUUUUGAGUCAGGAUUUCGCCAAGUUACCUAGGGCCUCAGUAAAUUGCUGAGUCUGACUUUGAACUUGUGACCUUCCUGCCUUAGCCUCCAGAGUCACUGGGAUUACAGUUGUGCACUGCACCUGGUUUGAAUGCAGAUUUUAAAACAGAAUCACAAAAUUUUCCGAUCUCCCCUGAUUAAUCUCAUGCCUACUGAAGUAAAAGAAAGGUUUUUUUUUUUCCUCCCAUGGAAUAUUUUGUGGGAAUUAGGAAUAAAUAAUAGAAUUCCCUUAGUGGCCACUGUAUAUUCCCCUGUGACAUAUACUAUAUAGCAUUUUAAGUGAAUACUAACUGAAUAAAAUAAUUAUAGAAAUGUCUUUUGUUAACUGUACAAGACAUUUGCCAUAACGAUUAUUAUUACUAUAAUACAGCUUUGUACAAGCAGGUUCACAAAAAUGUGAUUCUUUACUGAAUUACCUAGCUAUAUAAAUCUUCAGAGAUAAUUUCUGCUUUCAACAUAACUUUAAAAUUCAUUGUUAAGUAACAGUUCAAAAAUGCCAACAUCUCAAAAAUUUGGCAAGAGUAAUUUGCUUUUUUGCUUAAGAUUCGUACCUUCUUCUUCUUUUUUUAGAAAGAAUUAUAUAUUGGAACUAUUCUAAGGACUGAGAGGGCGAUAAAAUCUUAGUUGUAAUAUUACUUUUCUCAGUAGCAAAUGGCUCAUGUCUUCUACUUUAAUCUAUACUGGAAAUUUAUAUGCCUGUUUAAGAGAAGAACUCAUUUGUAACUGAAAAUACAAUAAAACUGAAAUAAGUGGCCAGAAAAUUUUAAUAGUUUUUUAAGGCAGAUAGAUCUCUACUCAUGUCAGUUUUUUAUAUAAGAAAUUUUAAUGUGAUUCUUCUCCAAGGUUAACUAUUUCUUAGGCAUGAAAUAAAAUGAUUCUAACAUAGCACAGGAAAGUAAGCCAGUGUGUUUUCUAUGCAUCAUGAAAAUUCUAAAGUUGAUAAUGUAAUUAGUAUGGAUUUGAAAAUAUCACUGAUAAUAUUUUAGUUCCUUUCAUGCAGCCCUACCAGUGUAAUAACAUAUGUCAGGGAAAUAGUAAUGAUUAUUGAACUAUUAUUAUUAUUUGAUGGAUUACGUCUCAGAAAAAUUAGACAAUGUAUCAUGUUAAAGAUCACAUUUGGUCAAUUUUAGUUUCCUUGCUGCUAAACAAUCUUUGAAAAAAUACGAGUUAAAAGUUAUUUAUUUUAAACAAAAUAUACACAAACUUCUUCAGGUGACUGCCAGGGAAAUGUCAAAUUUGCCUUUUCUUUAACUCACUCUUAAAAUCUCACAUCUAUAACUCAUUUAUGCUUAUAGUCUGGAAAACUUUUGAAGAUAUUUGAUUCUUAGUACACCUUUUUUAAAUAUAGUGAAACUGUAUUUUACGAACAUCUCAAGUUAGCCAGUCUAUGUAAACUUCUGCCUGGUAUGAUUGAGGCAGGUAUGUGUGAUACAUGGGCAGGAUCAAGAAACAUUUCUACACCCUUAUCCAGCAUCUCUCCAAAUACCCUGUGUCCAUGUGGUGGAGCCACAAGGUCAAGGUGGCUUCCUUCACUGACUCAUCAUAUAUGGAAUAGCUACCUUGGAGUUUUGUGGAUACAAAGCUUACUUAAGGUCAAUGAAAUAUAAAUUUCUCAUUAAUAUUGAUUAUGAUACUCUAAUGAUAUGACACUGACUUUCAGGAUUUGUUUAUUAGCAGCAUAACCUAUUCUAUCCUGAGUUAUAUAUCUUCUUUCCUAAAGAAAAUAUAACUUACCUUAUAAACUACAAUAAAUAAAUACAUCUAAUAUGUAAAAAUAUGAAUGUAUAAGAAAAUAAGCUUACAGCAUUUAUUGUACAAUUAGUUUGGUUAGGCACAGUGGCUCAUGCCCGUAAUCCCAGCAGCUCAGGAGGCUGAGGCAGGAGGAUCACAAGUUCAAGGCCAGCCUGGGAAACUUAGUAAGAACUUGUCUCAAAAUUAAAUAUAAAAAACAGGACUGAGGAUAUGGCUCAGUGGUAAAAAACAAAACAAAACAAAACACCUGGAUUCAAUCCCUGAUGCCAAAAAAAAAAAAAGUUUGAAUUUUAGAUAACUUCAGAUAACGUUCAGAAAUACAAAAAUACCGACCCCACAAAGAAGGUAUAGUGAUAGUCAUAAAUAUUUUAUAUGGGAAUACUACAGAACUCUCCAGAAUUAGUUGCUAAUAUAAUCAUUAAUAAUACUAGAAAUAGAACCAAUGUGGACUACAUUUUUAUGACUGCCUGCAUGUUAUAGAAUGUCACUGACUUUGUUCAUUCAUUUAUGCCUUCCCUCUUCCCAUUUAUAAAGCACAUGUUUGUUCUGAAGCAAAUAGGGUCUCUAGGUCAGGGGUGUAUGGAUGAUGAAUUGGAGCCUGACAUCUUGGGACCUCCAGUGGCUUCUGAUACAGCACAAAUUCCUCAGAAGUAUGACUUUGGGAAAUGACAAAAAUAAAAUGUAACACACAGCAAUUGAAAGAGUUCAGUAAUAGCUUUACAAAUAAACUCACUAAUGCAUGGACAGUAUUUAAUAACUUCUUUCUAGAUUCUUAUUGUAUGCAGUAUUUCCUUUUUGUAUGUAGCAUAACAUUUUACUAAUAUGUUAUUAAACAUUUUUUUUCUGUGAGGAAAAUAUCUAGUUAUAUAUAGAUAUUGACUACAAAUCAUGGAACACAAUCAUGGCCACAAUGUAUGGAAAACUCUGACAAAAAUGACAGAUAAAAGUUCUUUCCUCACAAAUGGAAUCAGCUUUCUACCUAAUAUUCGUAAGUAGGGAGGAAGAACAUAAGUAGACAUAUUGAUCUGUUAUUAAAAAUUGUUUUAGAUAUAUUUAUUUCAAGAACAUUGAUGACUUUCUAACAGUAGUGAGUUAGUUAAAUAAAUUAUUUUAAUUUCACAAACUGGUUUCUUUAGGAGUUGUGAAAACACCAAAGAAAGAUAUUCCUAACAAAAUAUUUAAAGAUAUGUAAAGUUCUCAGAAUAAAUUGCUAAAGAAUUAACAAAAUAUUACAUAUAAUUUAAUUCUUAUUAUGUAAAAGGUAUUUAUUGUAAUUAUAUCCUUGCUUAAAGGAAGAAUCUUAACUUUUUUGAUAAUAAUAUGAUAGGCAAAAGAAAAACAUGGAAAAUUUAUUUGUGGUUACAUUCUGCCCAAUAUUUAUUAUCUUUUUAAUUUGAUAUAAUGUGAAGGAUGAAUGCAAGCCUUUUUCAUGUUACAUAGAAAAAUAAAAAUAAGUUAAUGGGGGUACAAUAGUACAUAGACUUGUAAUUUAUAAUUUUAGUUAUAUCUGCAAAUGAUUCUAUUAUUCUCAGAAAUAAGAUCUCCCAAUUACUAGCCAAAACUAUUGGUAAAAAUUGUAAAGAAACUAAGUACACCAACAUUAUGAACAAAUUGUUUGUAUGAUGUAUGAUAAUAAGCGUUUUUUAUUAGAUUGAAAUUUUAUUUCUAAAGAAUUUUUUUUAUUUUGAGCAUGAAAAAAAUUUAUAUUUAAAACUGACUUAUGCCACUCAGUUGGAAGAAAGAAAGCAGAGGAAACCAGUACUUUCUCAUUAGGUUUAAUAGACAACUAUUCAGGAAAUGUAAAACUCAAAAUUGAAAUCCAUUAGUUUUUUUUUUUUUUAAAUAAGUGCACAGUCAGUGGAUUUACGUGAUUUAUUUACCUUACUUUAUAGUUCUAUCUAGAACAGGAUGCACAUGCAAUCAAGUUGAUCAUGCUGAACAAUUUUUAUUUUUCCUUGAGGCAUUUCCUUGAAAACUCUGAAGCUGAUUAUAAAGCAUAUUUCAGCCUCUCUCUCUCUCUCUCUCUCUCUCUCUCUCUCUCUCUCCUAAUUCUAGAAAGUAAGUUAAAGUGUUUAGAAUCUAAAAAUAUCCAAUUUCAUUUUACUUUACCCACAUGAUCUUCCCAUUGCCUUAAGUCUGAAUAUGAAGCCAAUACCCUAAUUAGUCAAAUAUUGGUUAAAGCAUAGAAGAGCAGUGUUGGUCCACUUUUUGUUGAUGAAAGCACAACUUAGAGGAGAAAAAAAUUCAUUUGGGGCUCAUGGUUUUAGAGGCUCAGUCCAUGGUCCUCUGACUUCAUUGCCUGGGCCCAGGAUGAAGCAGAGUAUCAUGGUGGAAGGUCAUGGAGGAGGGAUCCUAUGCUCACUGAAGCAGGGGAGUUGAGAGCUCCAGUGUUGGAAUACAGUACCCUAGGGCAUGCUCUCUGUGACUUCCAGCACUUCCUACCUGCCUUUAGUUACCAUCCAGUGAUUCAUUCAAAUUAUUAAUCCAUCAAAAGGAUUAUUCUACCAAUUAUGUUAUAGUAUUCAUACUAUAAUCAUUUCACCUCUGAAUAUUCAAUAUUCCUGCAUUGCCUCAUGAGCUUUUGGAGGGACAUUUUAUAUCCAAACCAAAGAAAGUGCUAGGGUGAAAAUUGUAUAAGUUGAGAUUUCCAAGAUCUGAACAAGAAUAUGGUAAAAGUUUUAAGCUACUAAGGAAUUAUGAGCCCAGGAAAUCACUUUUCAGGAUAAUUACAAUAUAUUUUAAAUUUUUAAUCUCAAAGAAACCAAUAAUACUUAUUGUUAGAAUUUAAACACAAGUUAAAUAACUUAGUGAUUUUUUAAAUAAAUGUUACUACCAUGUUGCUAAGAUGUCACUUUAAAAUAGAACAGAACACCUGCUAGGUUAUUACUCCUAUUAAUGCCUUACCUUUAUAAUUGUAAGUUUCUGGUCAGCAUUAGGCAAAUGCUUGCCUCAAGUAUGUUUUGUAAAUAAUCACUUUGUAUUAAGUUAUAAUAUUGUGAAUAGUUUGUAUAAAGUCGUAGUGAUACUUGCUAAAAAGAAAGCUCCUGAAGAACUUCUAAGGAUUUUCCUUAAGUGUCAUGGUCAGAUUAUUCUCAGCUCCUUAUGGGACUCUGCCUUUCUUUUAUAUAUAUAUAUAAUUUAUUUGUUUGUUUUAAUUAGUUAUACAUGACAGUAGAAUGCACUUAUAUACUUUGAUGUAUCAUACAUAGAUGAGCUAUAAUAUCUCAUUUUUCUGAGUAUACAUAUUGUAGAAUCACAUUGGCCAUAUAAUCACAUAUACACAUACAGUCCAUUUCAUUCUACUAUCUUUCUUAUCCCCACAUCCCCUGCCUUCCCCUCCUUUCACUUCCUGCUACCUAAUCUAAGGUAACGCUAUUUUUUUGCAUUACAAUUCUUUAUAUACAUAUAUACCACAAUUUUUGUAUUUCUAUUUGUAUAUGAAGUAUGUUGACACCCAAUUCAAGUCUUCAUGUAUGUACUUUGUAUAAUGAUAUCCAUCACAUUCCACCAUCCUUGCUAAUACCCUGCCCUCUCCCUUUCCCUCCCACCCCUCUUCCCUAUCUAGACUCCAUCUAUUCCUCCCAUGCUCUCCCUCCCAAUCCCACUAUGAGUCAACCUCCCUAUAUCAGAGUAAACAUUCGGUAUUUGUUUUUUGGGUUCGGCUGAUUUCACAUAGCAUUAUCUUCUCCAAUGCCAUUCAUUUACCUGCAAAAGCCAUGUUUUUUGUUCGUUUUUAAUGCUGAGUAAAUUCCAUUGUGUAUAUAUGCCACAUUUUUUUUUUAUCCAUUCAUCCACUAAAGGGCAUCUAGGUUGGCUGCAUAGUUUGCUAUUGUGAAUUGUGCUGCUAUAAACAUUGAUGUGGCUGGGGACACUGCCUUUCUUACAACUAAUCACAUCAAAGCUUGCAACUCUGAACUGUGAUUCACAUGGUCCUAAAGAAAACAUAUAACUGUGUCUCAUGAAGAAUGUAUAAGUCAGUCUACAGGUGUAAACCAUGCAAACGUGUUAUGGAAUUAAUUCUGAAUUGUAUCCUAGCACUCCCUUUUGAAGAAAAUAAUUUCCCUUUGUACUCUUGAUGUGUUAUUUAAACUCUCUUCCUUUCCCCUUCCCUUUUCUUUGGCCAGAUUUUCUUUCAGUCUUGUUCACUCUAUGUCAACCAACAGUUUCAGGCUACAAAGAUUACCUUUCUACUUGUACUAACUCUUAAUUUUCUUAUUUUCCUUUCAGCACAUUGUGGUAAUUAAUAUUAAAACAGUUUACUUGAUUAGAAGAAUAAAUACUCUAAAAAACCUAAAAGUUAAGCAUUUUUUAUAAGUUAGCAAGUAAUAAUUAUUUAAACUUGGAAACUUAAAAGUAUGAGCAGUCUCAUAGCAUAUGCACUGAACUUAGCACUAACAUGCUCUGAAACUUAGUCAAAACCUACUAAAUUUGUUGACUUUUGAUAACAGCAAUAGGACUUUGCUAAAGCAUUGGUAGGUGAACACAAAUAGACUGGCAAUAUAUUACCCCACAUUUGAUGUGUAUAUGGAUAUGUAUGUAAAUAUAUGUUUGCAGAAACCCACAUUCACUUGUGUGUGAGAACCAUGUUAUCCUUUUAUAUUUCAACCUUGAACAAAAAAUCACAGUGAAAAGCUUAAUUAAAGGAACCUUUUUUUUGUCAGUAUUAAAUUACAUUUAAUUAUUAAGAAGGCAAAGUUCAAUUCACACUUUAUCUUGUAUUCUUCACCAUUCAAUGGUAUGCUCUCUUGUAUACAAGUAAGGCCAUAUUAGUGAGAGAAAAUCUGAUUAAAUAUCAGUCUGAUUAAAAUAUCUGUGGUCAGCAUAACAAGGGUUUUAUAUAUUCCUAGUUAGAAAUAGAAGAAAGAAUAUAUAAUUUUCAGUAACAGGUUCAUUAGAACUUUUCUGAAUUUAUAUAAAUAGGAAGUAAAAGGCUUUCAAAGAUGAUGAUAUGUAAAUGAUGUUAUAGUAUGAGAGAGUACUAGGCUCAUCACCCCAAACCGCACCCAUCUUCCACCAUGCCACUUCUUUCAGCAUCACCCUAAUCUCCUAUGCUUAAAUAUAUUCUUCAGUUUUAAAACGACUUUCUGUGGGACCAUUGUUAUCAUAAUACAAUACAUAACAUUUGUUUGAAACAUCAUAUAAAUCAAUGUAUCUACCAUUUUACUCUAUCUAAAUAUCUUUUCCAAAGAAUGUAUAUGAUCUUUUUAGAAUUUUGAUUUUCCUGCCAAAAAGUAUUAGACUGGAUGUACGUAAUAAGUUAAAUGAAUACUUCUCUUGUUUUGAGGACAAAAUCAAAAUCUAGCUCAUAAGAACUGCCAUUGACAUUCAGCAGUCACAGCCCCAUAGAAAGCCAUCCCUGGCUGCUAAGAAGCAUGGCAGAGAAGUGGUAAUCAAGAGGACCUGUGCUUGGCCCAAACUCUGCACUUAUGGAAGCAGAAGUGUUUAGGGAAAACACAUAGUCAUUUCCAUAACUUCACAGACUUUGUUCACGCUUUCUUUUUACGAUCAAAGUCAUUUUUAGACAACUUUAAAAGCAUAGAUCCUGCCAUUGUGUAAUGAUGAAUUACUUGAAGGCAGAAAAUCCUUAAGUAAUUCUGUAAAUCCCACAUCUAGAUCACUGAUAGGAAGAAAAGUAGAUAAACAGUAAAUAUUGGUAUUUUAGCCAGCUGUUUCACUGCUAUGACCAAAAGACCUGAUGACAACAGUGUUAAGGAGGAAAAGUUUCUUUGGGCCUCAUGGUUUCAGAAGUCCCAGUCCAUAGAUAGAAGUCUCUCCUGCUCUGGGCCAGAAUCAAGGUGGGACAUCACAGCAGAAGAGUCUGGUGGAAGAAAAUAGCUUAGGACAGCAGACCAGGAAGCAAAGAAAGAGAGUUCCAUUCAAGAAGGACAAAAUCUAUACCCCAAUGCACACCUCCAGGGACCUACCUCUUCUAUCCACACCUGAUCUCCCUAAAGUUACCAGUUAAUCCCUAUGAGGGGAUUAAUGUACUGAUUAGGUUAAGACUCUCAUAACCCAAUCAGUGAUCUCUAAAUGUUUUUGCAUUGUCUUACACAUGAGUGUUUGGAGAACACCUCAUAUCUAAACUGUAACAAUUGGUAAAUGGAUGAUUUUUUUUCCAACUGUAGAAACAUUGAAGUCAAUACCAGUCAUAUUUGCUCCCAAUGUAAGUGAAAACUAGCAAAUAUAUGAAUACUGGAAAGGGAAAAAUAUAACUCCUAAUUUGGCAUAGGAAAAGGUCACUUAGUUUUAGUUUCCAAACUCCUAGUCGAUAAGAGGCUGCCUUCAAAGCCAGUAACUUAUGGAGAAAAACAAGAAACAAAGCACAAGACAGAAAACACAGUUCCAGAGGAUGUGACAUUUUCAUUUGUAGAUUCUUUAAUGUUCUAGAAAUAGCUGAACUGUGAAGCAUGUCCCAUCCAAUAUGACAUUAAAGGUUUUUAGAAAAGGGAAAUGUUCUUGAUGUACAUAGGUUUUUCUAUCAUACACCAGUAUUUUCAUAUGAUUCUCCUUUCCUUUGUAAUUAUAGCUCAGAUGGCUUUUGCACCGGUUUCCAGUGGUUCUGCAUUGAGCUAUUUUCAUUCCUGCACAUAGUUAUUUUCAGUCUCAACUGGAAAUGAGUGCAGUGACCACCUGAUGAUACUGACUCCAUUUAGUCUUCUUUGUAUUCUGAGAUUGAGCACACAUUAUUUUUGGCCUGACACUCCUUUGUAUUGAUCCUAAGAAUUCUGUGCAAGGCUCACUUUUUCUGUCUAGCCUCAGGAGUAUCAGGAUGACAUAGCCAUUAAAAUGUAGUUUUGAUGGUAGGAAAGAUAAAUUCAGAAGCAUUUGUACCUUGUUAACCUCAGGAGCCCUUGAACUCUGAUAUUUAACUCGGAAGAAAAUGCUAGACUAUUUCAGGAUAUAGAAAUAUUUCUUAAGAAUAAAAAUCAUAUUCAUUUUUACAUUUAUUUCACAUCAUAUUUUGAGGUUCACAUUAAGUAGUCUCUUUAUAUGACUACAGGUGACUGGGACAUCACAAGACUAAUAGUCUCUUGCCAACACUUUUCCUCAGUGUUGACCACUUUUUUUGCUUCUCCAUCCCACAGUGGCUCUAAAGAGCUAAGCUUUCCGUGGAAGUCAACAAAUGUUUCUCUUUCUCUUCUGAGAACUACAGGAAGUAUCCUUGAACAGACCCAUGAAAAGGACUCAAUAACAAAGAGAAAGUACAGUUCCAAAUAUUUCUUGGUAGUCAAUCAGUGAUACUUCUUAAAAAGCCCAAAGAGUUAGGAUCAGGAUAUCCCUUUCUUCUAUAUUUAAGAAUUCAGAAAUAUAUAUGAGAUCAUGUAUUUCUUUUAGUUUUUAUAUUUUUUAAUAAAUUAAUUUAUUAAUUUGUAUUUUAGUUGUUUAAAUUUAUAAUAAAUUAUUAAUAAUAUUUUAGUUGUACAAAUUUGUGGAGUACAGUGUGAUGAUUUGAAACAUGUGCACAGUAUAUAAAGAUUAGAUCAGGGUAGUUCACAUUUCUAUCUCAAACUUUAAAAAAAAAACUUGAUUAACACAUAAUGUUGUAUAUAUUUAUGGGGUACAGUGUGAUAUUUCAAUACAUGCAUAUAAUAAAUACUGAUCAAAUCAAGGUAAUUAAUUGUCUCUUUCUCAUUCCCAUGUCCUCACCAUUGCUUCAUGUCUGGAGUCUUUGAUAAACACCACUUAAAUUUGUAUUCUACCAACAAAUACUUAGUUCUGCAAAUUUCACUGUCAUAAGGACCAUUGGUCAUUCUUUAUUACUCUUUGUUAUCUUUGUAUAUUAAAAUUAUUUUCCAGAAAUUUUCUUGGAGCUAAAAAUAUUGAGGAAUUAUAUUCUCUUAACUUUCUCUUAAAGAUCCUGAACCUUCAAAGAAUGGCGAUAAUUAAAGGAUGUUGUUUCCUCACCAAAUUCACUUCCUUAUUUAAAUAUUUCAAUGAUACCACUCCAACUAAAUAACUUAUCAUCACUUGAUUUAUUUUUUUAGGGCAUUUAUCAUUAACAUACUAUAUACUUUGUUAUUUUGUUUAUCAUCCAUUCCCCGCACACCACAAUGUAAGCUACUUGAAGACAGUUUUUUCUUUGUUUUUGGUUUAUACUUUGCUGUACAGAAGUUUUUAAUUUUUGUUGAUUCUUUUUAGGUAUAUAAAACUUUAAGAUGCAUUUUGACAUAAUCAAAAAAGCAUGGAAUAUAAUUUGUUCUAAUUAAGUCCCCAGCAUUUCCCUGUUCCCCAAAGCUGUCUCUGCUCCCCUCCCUCUACAGUACUGAUCUUUCUGCAAUUUGUUUUUAGUUUUUUUUUUUUUUUUAAACUAAUAUUCUUGAUUAUUGCCAUUCAGAUUGUGGAGUGAAAUGAAAUCUCAGUGUCAUUUUGAUUUACAUUUCCCUAAUUUCUAGAGAAGUUGAACAUUUUUUUCAAGUAUUUGUAUGUAUCAUUUGAGAAGUGUCUUUUUAAUUAUUUUGCCCAUUUAUGAUUGGGUUAUUUCUUCUUUUGGUGUUAAGAUUUUGAAUUCUUUGUAUAUUCUGGAUGUAAUGCCCUAUUGGAGGAGCAGGUGGUAAACAUUUUCCAUUAUGUGCUCUCUUUUCAUGCUUUGAAUUGUUUCCUUUCCUGUGAAGAAGCUUUUUAAUGUGAUGGCAUCCCACUUACUGAAUUUUGAUUUUUAUUCCUUGUGCUUUAGAAGUCUUGUUAAGGAAGUUGAUUCCUGAGCCAACAUAAUACAAUGAUGGGCUUACAUUUUCUUCUAACAGUUGCAGAGUUUCUGAUCUAAUUCCUAGGUCUUUGAUCCACUUUGAGUUGACUUUUGUGCAGGGUGACAGAUAGGGUUCAAAUUUCAUUCUUCUACUUAUUGAUUUCCAGUUUCCCCUGCAGCAUUUGUUAAAAAGACUGUCUUUUCUCCAGUGUAUGUUUUUGGCACCUUUGUCUAGUAUCAGGUAACCGUAUUUGUAUGGGUUUGUCUCUGUCUUGUAUUCCAUUGGUCUACAUGUCUGUUUUGAUGCCAUUACCAUGCUGUUUUUGUUACUAUAGCUCAAAGGGAAUCCUUUGUCAGUUUUGAUUAUGACUGAAUUCCCAGCACUUAGAACAGUCUCUGUCACAUAGUAGAUUCUCAAUACAAAUUUAUUACAUUAAUAACUGAAUGAUGCUCUGAAUGACUAUCCAUGUGAUAUCUAUUUAAAAUGUAAUAUUGUGAGACUUCCCAAAUUAUUGUCAUAAUAUUUUGUCAUAAGAUGAAGUUUAUGUAACUCUAUUUUGCCUCUUAAAGGAAGCAAAGAUGAUUGCUUCUAAAAAUAGUUCCAAAUGGUAAAGAUUAUAAUUGCUUGCUUUUCAAACAAAUAACUUAAUGAAAAGUAUUUAUUCUUUAAUCAUUUUUACAUUUGAAUUCCUGUAUUUUUCUUACAUGACAUCUCAUAAGCCUAAUAGGGGCUUUUGCAUUAACUUUUGAAGUCCCUGGUUUUCUUUAUAGCUCUGCCCCUAUGUGUUCUAAUUAUGGGAGCUAUUAAGAAAACAGCAUGAAAUCAAAACUUAUUUUGUAAAUUGAUUAUGAAAAUCAGUCUUCAAAGUAUCCUUUUAUGAAUGACAGUGAAACUUUGAUCAUCAGAAGACUGAACUAAAGGGUUAUCAUCGUUUAACUUUUUCUUUAACAAUUGAGGACUUUUGAAGUAAACAGUGAUAUUCAUUUUUGUUUGAAUUUUAUUUUGGAAAAAUGAACCUUGACUGAAUUAAUACUCUAUCCCUUCUUAAUCGGAUGCUGAUGAUACUUUUAUCAUUCUCAAAUAAUUAAUUGUUGUAUUGAGUGGAUUCUAAGUUGAAUGUUUGUUGAUUAUCUAUGGGGGAAAAUGAAAGUUUCAAGAAUUUAGUAUGUAUUUUAAAUUGUUGGCAAUGCAGGAUGCUUUAUGGGGAUAUGGAAGUUAACUGUCUCCCCAGAAAGUGUUCUGUAUAUAAUUUAAUAAAAUCCAAGUUUUAAAUUCAACUGUGUAGAGUUUUCUAUAGUUAGUGAGUUGGUCUUGUUGAUGGAGAUGACUUCAGUAGAAGACAUGUUGGCUCAACAUUAUCUCUAACCCUAACCCUAACCCUAACCCUAAACCUAACCCUAACCCUAUCCAUAGACCCCCUUGCAAUGCCAACAUGAGGUAUUGUACCAAGUAGAUACCAUUUAAAUAUGUGCUGAAUGAAUGAAUCUGUGCAUAAAUCCCUUCUUCUCAGUCAGCCAGAUGUUCCAAUCUGGCUAGGAUAAAAUAGGAUGUAUUAAGGAUGCUAGUGGAACCUGUUAGAGACUUCAGAGAGGGAGUAAAAGAGAACUAGAUCCCUAAGCCUGAGCAUGGCAAUUAAAAGAAAUUUAGAAAAAUUUAAAUCUAUGGGAUUCAAACUAAGAGCAUGAAAUACUGUAGGGGAUGUUCUGCAAGAGAAAACUGUCCAGAUAUGCCCAAAACCACAGUAUUCAAGCUCCUCAUAUGGGCAUCCAUGGACACAUUCUCAGGAAUAUGUCUGUGUUUGGGAAUGAGUGAUAACUUUUUGUGGAGGAUCACAAAUAAAUAUAAUAUAAUUAUGUGGAUUAUUGACAUGAAUAUAUGUGGUAUAUGUAAUGAUUUAUAUUUUAUUUUUAACAUAUUUUAUAUUAUAAAUAUAUUAAAUGUUACAUUCAUAAUAUUACUCAUGAUAUUAUAAUAUACUAUCAUUACAUAUAUUGGUAUAUUCAGCUGCUAGAUUUUACUUCCCAGUUUAGCAUUUGUAUGUAUAAAUAUUUUGAUGUCAGGUUAUUCUUUUUCAGUACUCUAGGACUACUGAAUAAAGUAUAGAAGUGUGCAAUACAUAAAUAUGGUAUUCAAAUUAAAGAAAGGCAAAGUGACUUUAAUUCACAAACAAGAUUUUACAUUGUUCAGUAGGGAAAGUGAUGAGAGAAUGAUCUUCAUAUAGUAUAUUCAGCAGGCUGAGCUUGAUGAAUUCAAGAGGUUCAUAAUUUAGCUAUUAUUUACAUUUCAAGUUGUUAAAGAUUAUUGCAUUUUUAGCUUAUAUAAUUAAUAUAUACAACAUGAUAUUUUGAUAUUUGUAGUGAAAUUAUUACUAUGCUUAAACAAAUUAACAUAUCCAUCAUGUCACAGAUUUACCUUUUGUUUGUGUUUGUUGUGAAAGUACCUAAAAUAUACUAUUUUAGCAAAUUUCCAGAAUGCAUUUAAUAUUAUUAAUUCUACUCUUCAUGCUGUGCAUUAGCUCUUUGGGUUUGUUUAUCCUUUGUAACUCAAAUAUAAUCAUUCUUUAUAUUAAUUUAUUAACUCCAAAAGUCAUCCUAAUUUUUAUUGGUUUUACAGUUUUGUUGUAUUUAAAAGGAGCAUUUCAGUUGUUUUAGGUUUGUGACAAUUUUAAGCAGAAGAAGUGUUUUACAUAAUUUUGUAUUUAAAUGUAGGUAUAUAAUAUAGAAACAAUAAAAGCUUAUGCUGAGUCAUUAAAGAAAUUUUUGAAAACUUCAUGUAAAUCCCUAGACUUCUCUGAAAUUUCAAUCAAGAAAUGAAUUUAUUAGAAAUUCUUUGAUCAUUUAUGAGGAGAGAGAUUUGGUUUGGAUGUUUUACCCACUAUGAGUGUAUAUUCAUGGUCCUUAUUGGGUAAACCGAUAGUAGUCCUUAUUUUCUAUUAGAAAUUUAAGUUUACAUUAAUUAAGGAGGGAGAGAAAACAAAUUUUACUAAUUUCUUGAAUUGAAUACCUUAUAUUUUUCUGUUUUACCUUUAUAUUUUUCUGUUUUAUGCAUAUAAGAUAUUAUACUAGUUGGUACUAAUGAGAAUAUAAAGAUGAAUAAAACACACUUUCAAAAAUAACAUACCCCAUGUCCAUUUGGAUCAUUUGUCAUGAUGACUUUGAUGAUGAUGAUGACGAUGACAUUGAUAAUGAUGGUGGUGGCAAUUGAUGCUAGUAGAGAUUUCUAUCUCUAAUGUAGAAUUUACCACAUGCCAAUGUUAUGACUAGUGUUAUAUAUAUUUCCUGACUUAAUCCUCACAGUAGUUCUGUGAGAGAAGUGUAAUUAUUAUCUAUGUUUUACAAAUAAAUAAAUUGAAUCUUGGAGAGCUGAGAUAAUCGAACCAGGUCACAUAGAUCUCACAAAAUGGAACAAAUUGGGUGAGAUUCAGUUUAAACCUGUGCUAUAUAUUUCCCACCAAAAGUUGAAGUUCUUUAAUGUUGAAUAGUAAUCAGUAAUAUGGUCCAAAAUAUAGUUGUGAUUUUUAGUUGUCUUUGCUUAUCAAUAAAUAAGUAUAUCUUCCUUCAUGAUAUACUUAUUUAUUGAUAAACAAAGAAAGUGUUUUAUAAGGUUCAGUAAUAGAAACGUAUCCUGUAUGUCUUUUAUCAUUACCUGCUUAACACAAAUCUAACAUUUGUAUGGGUUAUAAGUAAAAAUGUUGGUUUACUUUGUAAUCCAAAUAUUUGAAGUCAUACUCUAUCAAAAACUUGGUCAUGGCAAACAGAAGGUUUUAAAAGAAGAGGUUUAAGAACCUAUUCUCUUCAUCUAUGAAUAAAAUCUUUAAUUUUCUUCAAAGUUAGCCCUUCUAAUAGUUUCAAAAUUCACUAUUUGAAUAUUAUGAGUCAUUUUGGGCUUUCCCAUUUUUGUCCUCCAGACUAUUUUAUGUAAAGAGUUAUUUAUCAACCAAUCCUGUACUAAUGAUUGCAGAUUUUUUUUCCUUAUUGGAGUGGUCCCAUUCAGAAUUGUGCCAGUGGAGCUGACAUAAGCCCCCUCCUUAUGUUUGUGUGAUAAGCAGCUGGUUCCUGUACACAGAGCUGAUUGUUUUCAUCUAAUGUAAGAAGUGGAUUUAGAGGGCUAAAAUUGACAAAUGCCAAUGUCAUAGAAUUAAGGGACACUUUAUUAAUCCCAAACCACUUGCCAGGCAACUUUUUUGUGUAUUAUAGAGUCUAGUGAGAAGAAUAUAUAUUUGAAAAAAUAUUAUUUAUCAUAUAUACUAACACUUACUUAUCAUACUAUGUUGUUUUCACUUUUUUCUCCAAAAGGGAACGUUUGAUAAAAUAUGAAAAAUUAAAGUUCUAUUUUAGUAGUCUGAGUGUUCCUUCUUUCAUUUUUUGAAUUGUCCAAAAAUAAUAGACCUUUUGAAUUAAUGGGAUUGAGCUCAUUUCCCAAUCGAUGGUACUUACCGUUUGACCUUGAGAAAAUGUUAAUUUUUAUGAGCCUUAUUUUACAUAUUUUUGUAAGCAGGAAUUUGUACACAGCUGUCAUAAUUGUUAAGAGAAAUAAAUCAGAUACCAAUGUGCAUAUUGCCUAGCACAGUACCAGGCUUAUAGAGAAUACCAUGAAUAUUAUUUACUUCUAUCUAAUUAUCACUGAAAAAAAUCAUUCAUAAUUUUUACCAUCAACUUUUAGAUUCCUUUGAAAAGAGAAUUUCUUAGUAUCUUCUAGAAAUACAUUGACUUUUCAGUUUUCUUCAGCAGGUGAUAUGCAUGUGAACUGUUCAAAGGUCUUACAUAUUUGCAAUAUUGUAUAUACUUUCUUCCCUUUUUUAUAUAUCAGUGUAUCUUGGUAAACUUUACCUUAUUUAAGCACCAUCAGUCCUGUGCUGAUUAUGCAAAUGUGUGAAGAUUUAAGGUGCAGAAAAUCCUAACUUUGCCCCAGUGUCUAUGUCACUUAAGAUUUUUUUCAAGUAAUGAUAUUUUCUCUGAAAUGUGUCCAGAUAAUGCCAUCAAGCAAUGUGGUGAAUAAGGCACAUCAAUUUCUGUUUUUAACUAAUAAAACUUAUUUUGAGAAGAUGCUGUGCCAUUCUAUUAUGUCUAGCAAUCUAAAGACAAAAUUUUCUAGUCAUCCUAAUCUUCAAAAUGGCAAAAUAAUUUGAAGUAAAAUAUUUUGAACUACUUCUAAAAGAAUGUGACUUCAAAAGAGAAAAUGUGAUAAAUUACAACAAACUGGUAAUUUAUUUCUUAUUUAGGGCAUAAAAUAUAGUUUAACAUAUGCUUUAUGAUUGAUCAAGUUAGGAGAAAUAAUCAGAAAUGAAUGGGACUCAUAGUGACCAAUUGACAUUCCUUCUGUCACAUAACCAUUUAAACCAUCUACUGAAUAAGUAUCCACAUAUAUUUUAAGAUUAUUAAUAUUGCUCUUCUUGUCCUUGGCUGAAUGAGGAAAGAGUUUCUUUUACUUUGCAGAAGUGAUAGCUCCUUCUAUGGUUGUCAGAAAUGUGCAGCUCUAUAUCAUUCCAAUUAAUGAUACCAAGUUUAGAUUAUCUGUCACUGAAACUCUCUUACUUAUAAUAAUUCCCCAAACCAUCAUAUGUUGGAUGCUUAGCUAAGAAGAAAUCUAUUCUGGAAAAUUUUUAAUUUUGCGUAUCAGUGGAGGUGAUAGCAUUUCUGUAAUAUUAUGGUUCUAUUCUCUAUUUUUCUAAAGUUGUCAAUGUAUGGUAAACUCUAAGAGUGUUUCAUAUUCUUUAGUUACAUUUUUGCAUUGUUCAUAGUAUACAUAUCUGUUGGACUUUUCAAUAACUGUUCUAAUAUUUAAUUUCAUACUCAAUCUAACUCAAUGUAAGUAAAUGUUAACUUGAUAAGUGGUUCCAGUUCUUUGACUUUUUAUUUCAUUUUUAAGGUAGAAACAUUAACAUUGGCUUGGAGUACUGAAGUGAUUUUUUUUAACAACAUAGAAAUUGCAGUUUUUUCUUUCUCACUACAGUCACUCAAAUUUUGUGCUCUCAUGUAAGUAAACUGCCUAUUUUACCUGAGGCUACCUUUUAUGGUCACUCAGAACUUCCAACAGAGCAAAUCUCAGCAGUUCAGCCAUAUAUUGAGGUAAAUAAGUUACACAAAUUCAAUAGCUGAACUUCCAAAUAAAGUCAGAUUAAUAGUUAUAAAUCCAGGGUCUGAUAUAACUACAUGCUGCCAAUUACUUGUUUAAUGUGAUACAUUUAGAUAGCCAACUUGGUCAAUGUCAAUUCAAAUAUUCACUCUUUGAUCUAAAUGUACAUCCUGUAUUGGUCAAAUUAAUCAUAAGAUCAAUUGGUUUUCCUCUUAGCCCAUACUGAUUACACUGUGAGAUUAUCCAUAGAACUUCACCAAAUCAACAAGCUUUUCUUAGCUAAUAGUUUUUUUUUUCUGUUUUAGUCAGAUAUUUUUGCAGCUGUGACUAAAAGUCCUGACCAGAACAAUUAUAGAGGAAAAGUUUAUUUAGAGGCUCACAGUUUCAAAGGUCUCAGUCCAUAGAGAGCAGGCUUCAUUCCUUGGAGCUCGAGGUGAGGCAGAACAUUAUGGUAGAAAAGUGUGGUGGAGGGAAGUGGCUCACAUGGUGAUCAGAAAGUAGAAAAAGAAUUUGCUUGAUAAAAUACAAAAUAUAUACCACAAAGUCACACCCCCAAUGCCCACGUAGUCCAGCCAUACCAUACCUGCCUUCAGUUAUUACUCGGUAAAUCCUGUCAGGGGAUGAAUUCACUGACUGGGUUAAGGCUUUCAUAACUCAGAUAAUUUCUCCUCUAAACCUUCUUGCAUUGUCUCACACAUGAACUUUUGGGGGAUACCUCACAUUCAAACAAUAACAAUAUCCUUAGUGUGAAGUAAUACAUUUUAUGUUAAAUUUCCAUAACAUACUGCUGACUUAGCCUGGAACAAGUCCAAGUAAUUUACUCUUUUAGACUAGGUAUAAUAGUUGUAUUUUAAUUUUAAUAAUAACACUUUAUUCCAUGAUCUUUUUUUUCAGUGGAAUAUUAGUCAACUGAUUUGUAUUUGUAUUUUUCAUUGGGUUUAUAUAUUUAAUUAGGUAGGUUAUUAUUGUAUGAGUUUCUGUUUAUAUUAGAGAAAAGUGUGACUUACAGCCAACUCACUUUUUGAAUAAGUGUUCAGUAUUACUAUAGUGUGUGUGAGUGUGUAUGUGUGAUUGUGUGUCCAAAGAAAAUGCCUAAAUUAUUUUUGUAUGUUUAGCAGAUGUGUGCCAUUGCCAUAGGGGGUCACAAUGGCAAAAGGAAGAACCCUCCAAGUUCAUGCCUUCCACAUCACAGAAUAUUGUGACCAUAUUAUACAACAGCCCAGAUAACAAUGGAUUUUUAUUUGUUGUUAUGUUAUUGAAUCUUACUAAAUAAUUACAUGAAACUUGCUAAAUGACUUUACUGUUUUAUUUUAUCAGUAUUUAGCAUGUCCCUCCAGGCUCUGGAAAGUGAUCUACAUUUAAUUGUUUUCAGUUUUCUCUAAGUUAAUCUUCCUGAGUUGUUACUGCUUAUCUGAUUUUCUUUCUUAGUUUAUCUGUGUGUUCCUAAGAAUGAAGGUUCGACAUCUAUGUACACAUGGUAGUCUUGUCGAAUAAAAAAUGAACUAUUACCUUAAUCCUGCACUAGGAUAAAGGAGACUAUAUAAGCCAAUAUGUGUGCCCAUUUUAACAGCUAAUAUUAGCAAAACUCAAGUUCAGUUCAGAGUCUUUUCAUUAAACUUUUUUAUCAAAGUAGAAAACAUAAUUUUAAUAAGAUGCAAGAUAAACCCCAGAGUAUUACUCUCAGCCAUGGAAAAUAAUACUGCAUAUUUUCAAUAAAUUCUCUACCUAUCAAUCAGUAGCUGAUGCUUCCUUUAUGUAUUCCAAUGAUAUAUUUAAGGUCCUUUGACUACCACUAGAAAAAUAUAGAACAAAGUUAAAAAUCCUAGCACUUGUGUUUUUUUCUUCUGUAUAAGAGUUCUGCCAAAGUUAUUGAUUUUAAAACUCUCAACCAUGGCAUAAUAAUAAGUACUUUAAUAAAUGAAAUGAGUACUUUCUACAUUUUACUAAAUUUAAAAGUAUUCCUCAGUUUCUUUAAAAUAUGCUAAUUAAAAGUUAAAUCAUAACUUUUGUUGACUGCUUAUUUGAUAAUUAAGGCUGAAUUCCCAUAAAAAGCAGCAGGAUGUAUAUAUUCAGAUAAUAGAUUUAAUAUUUCUGUUAUAUGAGCAUAAUUAAAUAAUCAUAAUGUCCUACUAAUUUGUAUUUAUAAGGAUUUCAAGUAACUACAAAAUGCUCUUUCCCAGUUGCUUUCUUUUUAUUUGUUUAACUUGAUAUGAGUAAUUUUUUAAUAAUACAAGGUGGUUUAUAGAAAAAAAUACAUGUAAAUUUAAUCCCUUAAAAUAUAUUUUUGAAUUUGGGACAAUGUCACAAUGGAUGAAGUAAGCACCAAUUUCAGUGUUUGAGGUAGCUAUAAUAUUGCUAAUUUGGUUUACAAAAGAGAUAUUUGUUGGCAGUAAAAGACAUCAGCUAAAUAAUCUUAAUAGCCUUUCAAAUGAGCUUAGCAAUUUAUUAAUAUGCCCCCCAAAGUCCUUUUAUAUUUUAAGAAGGGAAAGAAAAAAAGCAUUAUUAACUAAAUAUUUGAUUGAUGUUUAUAGAGAUUAUUCUGGUAGUUUCAUUUAGUCCAUCUUCAUGGCUGCUGGUUAUUCUUUGGUGAUUUCUGAUUGUUUUUAUUUCUCUUCUAAAAUCCUCAACAAUCCACCCAUCCAUUCACCCAUCCAUCCAGAUGCCUACCUGCCAACCAAGCAAUCAACCAACCUACUGUUCUACCAAUCUAUCUUUAAUACAUGUAAGCAAACAAGCAAGCAAACAUCAAAACAUUCUGUGGCUAAGAAACAAACAAAAACAUUCUCUGGCUCUUCACUAUGAAAGAUUAAGUAAAAUUUCCUUAGUGUAUAUCCUGUUCUUUUUUGCCUAUUUUUCUUUUUAAGCAUCAUCUCCGCUAAUUCUUAGUGUCAGCCAAAACCCAGACACAAAGGAUCCUUGACUCUUACCACCUUCAUUUGCAUCUCCUUAUACUCUCUGCACUCUGCUGGAUCACUAGGAUACAAGUCAGUAAGUUAUGACCUCAGAUACAAUAAAACAGAUUCUUUUCUGUAAAAUGGCAGCAAGAGGUUCCUGAAAGUGUUACUAGAGAUGGUGUGUAGGGAAACUGAUGAAGGCUUCACAGAGAACACAGUAUUUGAGCUAGCACUAGUUCUAUGAAUAGUUUAUCAAAAUGCAAAAGUACACAGUGUAGAAAAUGAGAAAUGUGUGUUUUUUUAUUUGUUUGUGUAUAAUGAAAUAGAGGUAAUAGGCUGAGAGUGGUUUGGGGCCACCUCACAUGUGGAGUAUGAAAUGGCCUAUACUUUGCUAAGCUCACUGACUAGUAUAAAUACGUGAGCAAAAAAAUGUUUUUAAAAGAAGAUAAUGUAAAUAAACAGUGUAUAGAAUGGACUGAAGUGGAUGAAAAACUGGUGAUAAGAGAAUGAUGAAGAACUGUUAAAUUAGGCCACAUGAUAGAGGAGGCUGCAUCUUAGUGGCGGCUGAAAUUGAGAGAGCUAAAUACUGUGCCUGAUGGAUGUACUAGUUGAAGGGGUGAGAGGAAAAUAAAAAUCUAAGUUUGCAAAGAAAUGGCAUUACAGGGGAAGCUCUUUCCCAGUCCAUUGCAGUACUUUAUUUUAUCACCAUCUGCUGGAACCCAAGUUCCUAAGACAAAAGGAUCUCAGAGACCUGAGAGAACCAACAAAUGGCCUGUGUUAAAGACAAUAAUUUGGAGCAAUGAAAAUCCAUAGUUUUCUUCAUAGUCUCAUCUCAGGUGCAUUGAUAAACUUUUUAAAACACUAAGUUGGGACUGGGGAUAUGGCUCAGUCAUAGAGAACUUAUCUAGCAUGUGUGUGGCUCUACGUUCGAUCCCCAGCUCUGCAAAGAGUCAAAAACAACAAAAAAAUGGAGCAUCACCAUGUAUUUCAUCACCAGAUACUUUCAGUUAUAACACCAAAGAGCUAAAGACCACUGACAGGUCUAUCUGAAUAUCCUUCUCUUUUCACAGACUGUUUGUAUUUAGUUACAGUUAUCAGGAAAGUAGUUCAGGUCAGUGUGGCAGAAAACACUUGGGUUUCAUGCCAGAAAGACCUGUCCUAGCAUCCUGGCUCCACAGUAGUGUUAUGUGGCAUAUGACAAAGUGCUUAACGUCUAAAUUGCAAUUUCUUCACACUUAACAUGGUGAGGGGUAGCAUUUUGCUUAAAUGUGGGGAUAUUAAGUAAUUGCCCUAGCACCUAGUAAAGUGGCUGAUCAAGAGAAGGAACUCAGUCAGUGAUAGAAUUAAUGAACAGUGCUGUUAUUAACAUUUUGUAAAUAGAAACCUGAAGACUCAUCCCACUUCUCUCUCCCAGGAAGCUUUAUCAGUGAAAGCCAUUCCUACCUUUUUGGAGCUCUUGCCACCCUCCUCUUACCACCUUCCUAACUUUAACUUAAAUUAUGAUGUGUUGGGCUCUUCAUCUUAGGGGACAGGCUUUAUUCAUCCUGGAUUUCUUUCAUUGCUGGCUUUUGUCAUACUGUAUAGUGGUUGAAGAAUACUUUAAAAUAUUUUGAAUUUAACAUAAUCUUUAGUAUAUUUAGCAGUAUAUAUGGCUCAGUAGUAACUAUUAUAGCACUCAUCAUACCAUAUUAUCUUCCAGCCAUGGUCCUCUCUGUAGAAAGAGUCCAUGAUGUACCCAUGGUGCUUGUGUUACAUUAGAGAAAAAAUAUUGUUUUGAAUGAAUGAAUGUGAGCAUCUUGCAUUUGAAAAAAUUUGAGUUUAAUUUUACUCUUUUAAAAAUAAAAGAGUUAAUUAGAUAUCCCGUCGCUGAUGUAAUUUUGUAUAAAACUUUCAACAUUUAUAAAUAUAUGUAGUGUUAUAAUAAUUGUAUUAAAAUAUUCUGUAUUUACAAAAACCUCACUCCAAUAUCUGGAAAUUGUUAAGAAAUAAUAUAUAGGUGGUUCAAGAUUUUUUUUCAGAAUGUUAUUCUUUACAUGAUAAUUUUCACACAUAUUUUCUCAAUAGGUAAUUUAUCCAUAGCUAAUUUUAUACAUUAAUAUUUAAAUAAAUCUGUGGCUGUGAAACAGCAGUAACUGUUAUAUUAUUUUAAAACAUUUUAUAAUGCCUUGCUGAGCAAUGAUAAAACUAGUAGUAAGAGCAUUUUGGCUGUAUAAACAUGGUUCUUUUGUUGUGGCAUUUUGGGGGUUAUGUCUGAACAGAACAACUGGUAUAUCAACAAUUAUGCAAUUUAUAAAUGUCUGAAUGCAAAAGGGUUGUACAAUAAGGAGCUAUACUGUGGGCUCAUUGGACAAGUUUAUAAAAAGCAUUUUAUUUUUUUUCAUCAUUUAGAAUAAACAGCAAACAACUACUCUAAUAAAGCAUAGUCAUGUUACCAGAGUGCACAGCUGACCAGCAGAAUCACCAGAACUGAGAGGGGCAAUCCUUCCAUGUACUGAUAGGCCCCCUUUAUUUGUAAGAGCACCUAUCAUACUCCAUUCCUGUCAUCCCUUAAUUUGUCUGUCUUCCCCACUGGCAUGCAGUACUACACUCUUAUUAAACCAUCUUUAUACUCUCAGAGCCUAUGAAGUAACUGACACAUAGAAAGCAAUAAAUUAUUGUUUAUGAAACAACUUCAUGAAGUAAAUAAUUAAUUAAUUGGACAACCACUGUGUUUUCACUGAUUCUCAAAAUUUAAUGUGCAUAAAAAUUACCUGCAGGGAUUUUAUGAUGCAGAUUCCUAACUCCUGCACACAGAGAUGCCAAUUUAGUAGGCUGUGCAGACUGGGAAUGUGGAUCAUAACAAGAACACUAAGGUUUCUGAUUCAGGAGUAAGGAUUAUUCUUUAAAAAUAUUGGUAUAAUAUCAUUAAUGUGAUUAAGAAAUCUUCAUCGAAUAAAAUCAUUGAGAAUUCAUUAUUCAUUGAUUAUAGAUCAAGAGGGUCAAAGUGAGUGAGGACUAGCAGUACUGUGAGAAAGUGACUGUCAGACGACAUGCUGAUCAAAAUUUGGGCUCUACCUUUUCAGAUUCUGUUCCUGAGGUCAGUACAAGUAGGUAAGUAGAAGGUAAGGUAAGAAAAAAUUUGGCAGUGUGGUCAGAUUACAGGAAAGUCUAAGGAUACUGAUAUAGAUUGGUAUUUUAACUGGGCUGCAUUUGAAGCUAAACUAAUAGAAAAGCAGGGAGCAAAACUUCAGGACAGAUGACAGGACUGCAUUGCAAGAGAGACCAUACAAGUGUAUUGACACCAGGAAAUGGCCUGAGUGAGACUUCUGACCCCAGAUGGACCCAUACAUCCUUAGUUCCUCUUUCAAGUUUACUUCUUCAUGUUAGCAAAUGGAAUGUAGCAAGGUAGGUACAAGUUCCCAGAGCUUGAUAUGCUUCUUUGGUACUGAUCAUUGUGGAAGGUUUUAUCUAGAACAUUUUAUCUAGAGCUUUCUAGAGCAUUUAUACUUUCAGAUUUAGCACAGAAUCUCUAAAAAGUUUGUACAGAUUCUUGGACUCUAAGCUGCACCUCCAGGAAGCACACAAUGAACUUUGAUACCUGUAAGCUCAGUGGGCCAAAAGUGGAGGCUGUGUCUUGGGAAAUCCUUCUUAGAUAUUUUAUUAAUGAAUGUUCUAUUAUAUUUACAAGGAGUCAUCCCCUUUCCCCACAAGUUUAGCCACACAUUGCUGACUCUUAUACAUAACUCUCCUCAUCUGCUGUCUUCAUAGUCUCUAAAAUCACUUGCUGUAGACUUGCUUUCAUAAAGAUUCGAAAACACUAACCAAUGUAGCAAAUUUUCUCCAUCUAUUUUCCAUCAAUUUUGACUUUAAAGACUUAUUUUUCUCUACUUUUGUUCCCUCUGCACAAUUUAUAUCCUACAUUCAGAUUGCGUGUCAUAGUGUCAUAUAUACCUCACCCAACAUUUGAAGCAGCCCGCAAAGGCAGAACAGCAGCUAGCCUAAAUUUUUUUUUUCAAAAAUUAGGGUAUAGUAUCUCCAUGUGUUGAAAUAAGUGACCCAGGUUAUUAUUAAUCCAAGGAUAUGGGAAGAAGGUGACAGAAAAGAGAAAGAUGAGGGAAAAAUGGAAUAUGGGUUCAGAAUGCAGCAGAUGCCUAAGACAUUUUACAUCCUGACUUCUUAAGCAAGAUUCUACUCCUUUGCAAUUCAUUUAUAGAAUAGUUAUGGCUUCCCAUUGGCUCACUGCUCCCAUUUACUCAGCUACUGUAAAUAAUAGCCAUCAGCAAAGCUUUUGAAAUUUUCAGAUGAAAGGAACUAAAUUAAGAAAGCUUCCCAGGUGUAUCCCUUUCCUACAAAAAGGAUGCUGAGUAGAACUAGAAAUCCAGGAACAGUGAACACAACAUGGUCAUUGUAACAUAAUGCAUUCCAGCUUUUGAGAGCCAUAAAUGUCUACUUUUUAUGUACUGAGAGUUUUUUUAAUAAAUAUUUUUUUCAAUUGCAGCAGAAUACAGUGGAUUUUAUCUUAAAUUGUGGGAGAUAUUAGAGAAGGCAAUAUCAAUCAGUUACAGUAUGUGGAUUAAUGCCACAGGAGUUUCUUUCUUUGGUUAUUGUAAAGUUGUUUGCUAUUUUAAAGCUAUUAGUCACAUGCAAGUGUACCUGAGAGUAAAAUUUUUCAUUACCAUCCAAAGAUGAUUCAUUAUGUUGCUUUCAGAAGAAACUUUGAAAAUAAAUUCCUGUGUAUUUUUUUUAUGUUCUCAAGGACUUAAAAUGUACCUGCGCUUUUAAAAAUUUCAUAUAGAUUAUAUUUUAUGUAUAAAAAUAAUUUUAUAUAAAUAUAUACACUUAUGUAAUCUACAUUUUCAAAAAGAUUAUUAUCAAAAAAACUAGAAAUAGAACUGCCAUAUGAUUCAGCAGUCCCACUACUGGGUAUAUAUCCAAAGAAAAUGAAAUCAGUAUGUCAAAGAGAUAUCUGCACUCAUAUGUUGUUUGCCGCAAUAGUCACAACAGCCAAGAUGUGGAAUCAGUCUAGGUAUCUAUCCACGAAUGAAUGGAUAAAGAAAAUGUGUGAUAAAUAGAUUGGACCAAAUGCACUUGCACUAUAAAGUGUUAUGAUCUUUACAAUGGGCCUUGUAAACCUCUUUAUCUUAUUACUGUCAAAUGAUGGAACCAGUACUCAUUUUUCUUUGCCAAGGGUGUUUAAUUGGACUAGUAUUAUAAGUAAAAUUGGGAAGCAUAACUUGAAACAUAGAGUAUACUAUACUUAUGUAACAGUGGAUUUGAAUUUUUAGAAAAUUGUCAUAGAGCUCUAUGGUAUUUAAUAUUAUUUAUUAUGUUUAAUAAUGUCAAUACUCUUCACUUGAGAAUGCAGUAAACAAAAAACAAGGUUGCCUAUUAAGAUCAAGUAACUAUUAGGCAUUGUGAGGAAUAAAAGAAUGUUAAUGUGUUCAGAGUCUUCCAGGACCUCAAAAUGCAUUUAACCAGACCUGGGAUGUAUGAUUAAAAUAAUUGCUAAGCCAAACAGCCUUCAUUUGUAACAAUGCAUAUGUCACACACCUCUUUUUUAAAAAUAUUACUUGGUUGACAUUAUUUAUAUAAUUUAAUAGUUCCUGUUCUGAAGCUUUAACUUGAUGAUUAAACUCAUGAAUUUUUGUACAUUGGAGAUUUCUUUGCUUUUUUAAAUAUAUUUCUUUUCUGUAUUGACCUUAGUUUUCUGGAUAGAGGAAAAUUCUUUUAAGUGCUGAAAGUUUUCAUUCUGUUCCUAAUCAUCAUUUUAUUAUUUUAGUAUGUAAACCAUUUAAAAAUGCACCAUUUAUUUCCUCGACUUGUUUAAAAGAGAAAGUUUUGUAGGUUUUUAUCUAUUCAGAGCCAUCAUUCUGUGCAGUGGUAUUUGUGAUAUUUUCAAAAUGAAAUGUACAAUAGAUAUGGUAGAAAUGUUUUGGUUUCUUAGGGGAAAAAUGCAUUAUCAAUCUACUUCUUUGUUGUUUUUCCAUUUUCUCCUAAAUAUUGUUAUGAAGCAGUUAAAUGAUUUUUAUGCCCAUUUUGCUGAAUUUCUACUAUAUUAAUAAAACAUAUCAAAGGCUUAGGUUUUUAUUUUGUAGAAAACUAUGAUUGAUAUCAUUGAGCCCAAGUUUGUCAGUCUCUUUGAAAUGUCAUCUCUGGUUUCCUC